rnacentral:lncRNA from 1 species
CUACGACGUCACCGCGGCAGAGGAAGAGGCCGUAGACGGCGUUGUUUGGGGUUUGGACGGAGGCGUUGUAGAAGCCCGUGGAGCGGUUGGCGUUGGAGGAGAGGGUGGAGAGGAGGCGGUUGAGGUUGGACUGGAAGGUGGAGUUUGGGGUGAAGGUGGUGGUGUUUGGGCAGGCGUGGUAGAGAUAAUCUGCUUCCGUAUUGGUGAGAAAGCUGGGCAGAGUAAAAAUGGAGAAAAUCAAAAGAAGGGUAGUCAUGCUUUUCAUUUUUUGGUGAUUCAUAGUAACAUCAUAGGUUUUUUAACUGAAUAUUAACAAGAGCAAUGCAGGGGUGGUAGCAAGACUUUCCAGUUUUUAGUUCCUCUCAUACAACCGGGUUUUAGCCUCACUGCCAUCAACCUCUAAUAAGUAGGGGUGGGUUCAAAAAACCGAAAACCGAAAAAAACCGAAAACCAAACCGAACCGAAACCGAAAAAACCGAACCGAAUGAAAAAACCAAACCGAAUUGAAAAAACCGAACCGUACCGAAUUCUUUUGAUUCGGUUCGGUUUUAGUGAUCUAGAAACCGAACCAAACCGAACCGAACCGAAUUAAUUAAAUUAAUUUUUUUAUUUAAUUAUUUGUUUUGGAUAUUAUUUUCUAAACCCAAUUUGUAAAUUAAAAUGUGUUAAACCCAAUGUGUUGCCAAACUUUAAGCUCAAAAUAUUAAAAAAGGCCUAUAAAAACUCUAAACCCUAACCUAUUAUUUCUCCCCCAUAUAAGGUUCCGGAACCAAACCUCCUCCUGAAGUACCUAUAUCCAUCUCCAUAGCACUGUCUACUUCUGCCACAGCUUUCUUUUCCAAAUCUACUCUCAUAUAACAUGUAACAGAAUCAAUAAACAUUUAUUUCGGGUAGAUUACUUGGGUAAUUUGUUAUGGAAAAAAAAUCCAACACACACUAAAUAAAUCCACCCACGCAUUACUUUUACUAAUCAAGUUGUCAACAUGCAGUUAUAAGCAAACAACCCUGAUCUUUGAACAACAUCAUACAAUUGAACUUUUUUAAGUCAUUUGUACGAUUUUUGUGUUGUGAGGUUGUUAGUUUGGACUUUGGAAGACUUGAUUGAUGAUUUUAGUUCAACUUUAAAUGUUUAUUUUCAUUAUCUUUGAUUCUAGUUAGAAUGUUUAUGUUAUGAUUGUGUUGGAUAUGUUAAAAUUUAAAAUUUCAAUGUUUUUCAUUUUUUGAAAAAAAAAACAAAAAAAUCGAAACCGAACCGAAAAAAAACCGAAAAUAAACCGAACCGAAAAAAACCGAAAAAAAAAUGAACCGAACCGAAAUUUCGGUUUGGUUUCGGUUUUGGCAAAAAACCGAACCGAUUUAAACCGAACCCACCCCUACUAAUAAGUGCUUACAACUUGUUCAACAUUGCACUAUUCUGUCCACUGACCACUUGUUUUGUUGUUUAUUCAUACAAAAAGCAAGGGUGAUCCUAUUGGUAGAUGUAAUGAUGUUGUUGAUAAUUGAAUUAUACUGAUUAACGUGUUUAUUUUUUAUUAAUAAUAAAUUAUUUUGUUUGGAAUUUAAUUUAAAAUUUUAAUGUCCUUAACAUUACCGAAAAAGUAAUCACUGCUUCCGGUUGACAAGUUUAAAUUACUAUUUUUAUAAGUGAUAUUCUAAAUUAAUUUAAUUUAAAUUAUAAAAGAGAGAUCCAUUUAGGAUGCAACGAAGAAAACAUUAACCAAUUUGAUUAAGCCCACCUAAAUGGAAAAGAAUCCUUGGAUCUUAGGGAUCCCGGAAUUGCGACCGUUCAUUGUACAUUGUACUGUCAAUUUUCAUUAGGUAUUAUUUAUAUUUAAUUUUAAAUUUUAAAAUAAUUUCUGACCACACGAUGUACGAUGAACGAUCACGAUCACUGGGUACUUAAGAUCUCCAGAAAAAUGAUCCGGCGAGAAUUCUUUUCCCACCUAAUAAAUUGCCAACUUUUAGAUGCGAGUAGGUGUUGAAGCUAUCUCAGUGGGUAAUUGUCUUUAUCAUCAAAUUCAUAGUAAAAGAACACAAAGGAAGAGAGGAAAAAAAAAAGUAGUAGUUUGAAGCAAAGAAAAAUGCAAUGGGGACGGGAGUGGUAAGAGUGUGACGCCAGUUACGUAUGGGAAAUUUCAGCUUUGGUGGGGAUUUUUCCAAGGAUUAUCUAGUUCUAGCAUCAAGGAACAAAAAAGUCCUCAAAAAAAUUAUUGAUUAGUCCUCAAAAAAAUUAUUGAUUAUUACCCACGCGGAUGUUAGAAGUUCCUUAAACUUCAAGAGUACAAUAUUGGGAUUUACUAUAGUAAUAUUUCAUUUACCGUCAUGUAAAAAGGUUAAAAACUUAAAAUAUAGGACAAUGCAUUAUUGUGGUGAAAAAUCACUAUAAAGACAUCUUUUAUUGUUAUUUUAUCUUGUCAUAAUGGCCCAUUGAGUGUUACAUUUGGCCAAUUGAGAGAUACACUAUUAUAUUGUUCUCCCUCAUACACCAACAUGUGAUAAGUUAUUUCUAGAUGUUCGUAUUAUAUAUGUGUUUGCAGUGGUUGAAUUAGAAUUUUCAAAUAAUAGGGUCUUAAUUUAAAAAAAAAAAAAACUUCAAUGGAGCAUUUCGUUGAGCACCUAUUGGGCACUUGUUGAUUCCUGCCAACAUUUGCCAAAAGCUUACGUGAACAUAUGUCGACAAUUACUAUGAUUAGUAGAAGCUUGUCGAGGGUAGUUGUAGGAAACUGUCAAGUAAUGUUGAAUACUGCCAAGAAUUGUCAACUGAGGCAUUUCAUCAAGCACUUGGUUUGCACCAUAGAGUCGCAUACAAGAAGAGAUGGAUGAUAAAAGAAAACAAAAUUAGAAGGAAGAAGUUAUGACUUAGUUUGUCAUAAUUGUUUAUAAUGGUCAAAUACAAAUACAAAGUCAAAUAUACAUAAAUAUUUGAAAACUUUUGAAAUCAUAAACAACCAAUGACUCCAUAUUAAUUCCGCCAUUGCAAGCUUGUACUUUAAAAUAUCCGCGAACAUUUGCCUAAGAAAACAACAUAUGUUAUAAAUAUAUCAAAGUUAGAGGGAUAACCUUUUUGAUAGGUGCGAAGCAGAUGUAAAAUAUCACACUAAAACUAUAGCUCAAGUGUAUGACAAAUAAAAGAUGGAGAAGAGAUUUCUUUCUUCUGUUCUUCUGUAUGUCUUUCCAUAUAUUUUGAUUACAUUCGAGUGCUCUAUUUAUAGAGCAACUCGUAUUAUUACAAUUUGACAUUUAUAACAAACAGAUAGAAAAACGAUCUCCUGCAUCCAAAGUCAAUUUCCAUUUUCAUGGGUAUUGAAAACUUAUGCCAAAGUUGAAAACCCAUGAUGUGUGAGAAUUGGAAAGUCUUCCAAGGUACUGUGGGCAUUCACUACCCAGCAGUAUUUUCAACACUCCCCCUUGGAUGCCCACAUAUCAACAUCAGUUGCCUCGUUAAAACCUUGCUUGGAAAAACCCAGUGGGAAAAACCAUAGCUAAGGAAAAAAAGUACAACUUUACUUGGAUUGUUGAUAUAGUGUUAAGUAUGCUUAUGUUGCAUCAUUAAAACCUUGAUAGGAAAAACCCUGUGGGAAAAAUCCUAAUCGAAGGAAAAAGAGUACAACAAGCAUGUAUCAUGGAUGCUCCCCUUGAGAUGUAUCUCCCCCUCAUUCCGCAUUCUCCAAAUUUAGCUAUUUGGUAAGUCGACGUAAUCCGAUACUUUGCACUAACUUCUGAAACGUGCAUUUUGGUAGAGACUUGGUGAACAAGUCUGCCAGAUUUUCAUUAGAACGGAUUUGUCUGACUUCAAUAACUUUAGCCUUCUGAAGCUCAUGUGCACUGAAAAACUUUGGAGAUAUGUGUUUAGUUUUAUCGCCUUUGAUGAAUCAUUCCUUCAUUUGAGCAACACAGGCUGCAUUAUCUUCAUGAAUGACAGUUGGAUUAUCUGUCUUCGAAGUUAGACCAUAUGAAUUCCGAAUAUGAUGGAUCAUUGAUCUUAACCAAGAACAUUCACGACUUGCUUCAUGUAAAGCAAGUAUUUCUGAAUGAUUUGAAGAUGUAGCAACUCAGGUUUGCUUUGUUGAGCGCCAUGAAAUUGCUGUAUCUCCAUUCUUGAACACAUAUCCAGUUUGUGAGCGAGCUUUAUGCGGAUCGGAGUGGAAACCAGCAUCUGCAUAUCCAACAAGAACCUGGUCAUUUGUGGAGUUCUUUGAGUAGAAGAGACCCAUGUCUGUUGUCCCACGAAGGUAUCGCAAUACAUCUUUGACACCCUUCCAAUGACGAAUUGUUGGAGCAGAGCUAUACCUGGCUAACAAGUUGAGCAACACAGGCUGUAUUAUCUUCAUGAAUGACAGUUGGAUUAUCUGUCUUCGAAGUUAGACCAUAUGAAUUCCGAAUAUGAUGGAUCAUUGAUCUUAACCAAGAACAUUCACGACUUGCUUCAUGUAAAGCAAGUAUUUCUGAAUGAUUUGAAGAUGUAGCAACUCAGGUUUGCUUUGUUGAGCGCCAUGAAAUUGCUGUAUCUCCAUUCUUGAACACAUAUCCAGUUUGUGAGCGAGCUUUAUGCGGAUCGGAGUGGAAACCAGCAUCUGCAUAUCCAACAAGAACCUGGUCAUUUGUGGAGUUCUUUGAGUAGAAGAGACCCAUGUCUGUUGUCCCACGAAGGUAUCGCAAUACAUCUUUGACACCCUUCCAAUGACGAAUUGUUGGAGCAGAGCUAUACCUGGCUAACAAGUUGACUGAAAAAGCUAUAUCUGGUCUAGUACAUUGUGCUAAAUACAACAAAGCACCUACUGCACUCAGAUAUGGUAUUUCUGGACCAAUGACCAUUCCAUCCUCUUCUUUUGGACGGAAUGGAUCUUUCUUAAUGUCCAGAGAACGAACGACCAUUGGUGUGCUGAGUGGAUAAGCCUUAUCCAUGCCAAAUCGCUUCAUAAUUUUUUCAAUGUAAGUUGAUUGGUGGACCAAAAUUCCACUAGCACAAUGCUCGAUCUGCAGGCCGAGACAAUAUUUUGUUUUCCCAAGGUCUUUCAUUUCAAAUUCGCUUUUCAGAUAUUCAGCAGUUUUAUGAAGCUCUUCAGGAGUUCCAACUAGGUUCAUAUCAUCAACAUAUACUACUACUAUAGCAAAUCCAGAGUUGGAUUUCUUAAUGAACACACAAGGGCAAAUGACAUUGUUGAUAUACCUUUCUUUGAUCAAAUACUCACUGAGACGAUUAUACCACAUUCGUCCAGAUUGUUUCAGCCCAUACAAUGAUCGCCUUAAUUUGAUCGAGAGCAUACCUCGUGGUUUGUUACUUGUUUUAGGCAACUUAAGUCCUUCUGGGACUUUCAUGUAUAUGUCAGUAUCUAAUUCUCCAUAUAGAUACGCAGUGAUGACAUCCAUAAGUCGCAUGUCAAGCUUUUCUGAAACCACUAAACUUAUUAAGUAACGGAACGUAAUUGCGUCCAUUACAGGAGAGUAUGUCUCCUCAUAAUCAAUCCAGGUCUUUGUGAAAAGCCUUGUGCAACGAGUCGUGCUUUGUAUCUAGCAAUCUCGUUUUUCUCAUUGCGUUUCCUUGUGAAUACCCAUUUGUAACCCACGGGGUUUACAUCAGGCGGGGUUUGGAAUACUGGUCCAAAAACACUUCGCCUUUCCAAGGAAUUUAAUUCUACCUGGAUUGCAUCUUUUCACUUAGGCCAAUCAUGUCUCUGUUUGCACUCAUCAACAGAGCGGCGCUCAAUAUCAUCACUUAAUAUGAUUUCAGUGGCUACUGCGAAUGCAAACAUAUCGUCAAUGAUUAUUUCAUUCUGAUCCCACAAUUCAUUAGUACAUGUAUAAUUUAUGGAGAUUUCUUUGCUUUCAUGUACUACUGUCUCUUCAGGGACAUGUGUCUCAUCAAGGACAUUUUCUUCUUCUGGAAGUCCGGAAUCAUGAAUUGUGGAUUUGUCAUUCAUUCUCUCUUCCUGAAUGAUUUCAUUUGGAUUCAGCUAUGCCCUUGUCUUUCUCUUUCGAGGGGCUGAAUCUUUUGAACUUGGUGGUCUACCACGAUUCAGGCGUGCACCAGAUGAAUCAUUUGCUGCCACUUUAUUUUGUCCAACAGGAACAUCAAUUAUGGCAGGUGCAUUUGCAGCUGGUAUAUGCGGUUUUGUCACUUUCAUAGCAUCAUUAAAUGCAUCUGGCAUUUGAUUGGCAAUGCUUUGAAGAUGAACGAUCCUUUUUACUUCAUUUUCACAUUGAAUGCUUCGAGGAUCAAAAUGAAGCAAGGUGGGAACAACCCAUGUCAGCUUUUUCCGUUCUUCUGGAACGGUCUUUUCUCCCCCUAACGAUUGGAAGACUGUCUUAUCAAAAUGACAAUCAGCAAAGCGAGCUGUAAACAUAUCACCUGUCAAGGGUUCCAAAUAUCUAAUGAUAGAUGGUGAAUCAAAACCCACAUAAAUUCCCAGUCUACGCUGAGGUCCCAUUUUAGUGCAUUGCAGGGGUGCAAUAGGCACAUAAACAGCACAACCAAAAACUCGUAAAUGUGAAAUGUUUAGCUGAUGUCCAAACACGAGUUGUAUUGAGGAGUAUUGGUGGUUGGCUAUAGGUCUCAAUCGAACCAAUGAUGCAACAUGUAGGAUGACAUGUCCCUCUACAGAAACUGGCAAUUUGGUUUUCAUAAGCAGAGUGCGGGCUAUUAUCUGAAGUCGUUUGAUCAAUGCUUCUGCUAAACCAUUUUGAGUAUGGACAUGAAGAACAGGGUGUUCAACAUCAAUGCCCAAUGUCAUGCAGUAAUCAUCAAAAGUUUGAGAAGUAAAUUCACCAACGUUAUCAGUCCGAUUGACUUAAUGGGAUAAUUUGGGAACUAUGCUCGUAGCUUAGUUAUCUGAGCAAGAAGUCUCGCAAAAGCUACAUUCUGAGUAGACAAGAGACAAACAUGUGACCAUCUGGUGGAUGCAUCAACCAAAACCAUAAAAUAUCGAAAUGGUCCACAUGAUGGUUGAAUAGGUCCACAAAUAUCCCCUUGAAUUCUUUGCAGAAAUGAUGGGGAUUCAGCAUCAACCUUUAGUUGUGAUGGUCUAAUUACCAACUUCCCUUGAGAACAAGCCUUGCAAGGGUUAUCAUUUGAGAUAGCAAUGUCUCUGCUCAAUAAUGGAUGUCCAUUAGAGUUGGUAAUGAUCCUACGCAUCAUGGUGGAUCCUGGAUGACCCAGACGGUCAUGCCAAAGCAUGUAAACCUUUGAAUCAAUGAACUUUUGGUUCAUGAUAGUAUGUGAUUCAAUUGUCCUUAUGUAUGUAUAAUAUAAUCCACUCGAAAAACCACGCAACUUCUCCAAUAUACGCUUCUGGGUAUCAUUGGAGGUAAUGCAUAGAUACUCCACAUUUUCUGCACUUUUCAUUUCAAUGUGGUAUCCAUUUGGACGUAUGUCUUUGAAACUUAACAAAUUUCGAGUAGAUCGAGUAGCAUACAAUGCAUUUUGUAUGGACAAUAUUGUUCCAUUUGGUAACACAAUCUGGGCUUUCCUUGAGCCUUCAAUUACAUCUGAAGGUCCUGAUAUUGUUGUUACCCCUACUCUUGUAAGCAUUAAGCUUGAGAAAUACUUUCGAUCACGAAGUAUUGUAUGUGUGGUUGCACUGUCUGCAAGACAAAUAUCUCCGCCAUUUAUCAUGUUCUGAGAAUAACCACAUUUUUUAUCCAUGCUUUCUGAGUAAAUGGAAUCACAGUUAACAAACAAUUUAUAACAAGAAAUUUACAUGCCACUUUUAUUGAAUCUGAAAAACUAGUUUUAGACAACAAGUUCAGCAUAAUAAAAGUACAUUAAACGCAAAUGAUUCAAUCGAACCUGUAUGCUUCAUUCCCCUUUCCAUAAUGAAGUCUGAAACAUCUAGGUGAGUUGUGUCCAAUUGCCCUGAUAAAUCAAACACUGGAUCAGGUAUAUCUAUUGGUUUAGCCUGGUCGAGGAAGUUAGUCUCGACUUCCUUCCCCUUGAAGAAGGCUUGAUACAACUCCACCAGAUGUUUUGGGGUACGACUGGUACGCGCCCAAUUCCCAUUGCCACCACAUCUAUGGCAUGCUCCAUUAGAGUUCCUGGGAGCAUUGCUCAUAUGAGCUUUGCCUUUGUGGCGAUUCACAUUUUUGAAGCUGGGGCUUGAAUUAUGCCUCAAAACCUAGUUGUGAAACUGACCACCAUGGUUCCUGACUUUCCUAUUCCAUCGACCUCGCUUGUGGCCAUGUCCUCAUUUAUGAUUAUCGCCACCAAAAGAUGUGGCGUUCACUUCGAGGGAAGCAGCAUUCACUUCUGGGAAUGGUGCAGAUCCAGUAGGUCGGGAAUUAUGGUUUUUCAUCAGGAGCUCAUUGUUCUGUUCAGCUACCAGGAGCACAGAUAUCAGCUGGUUGUAUUCAGUGUAGCCUCGCGCUCUAUACUGUUGCUGCAGGAGCACGUUAUUGGCAUGAAAUGUGCUGUAAGUCUUUUCCAACAACAUUUCUUCAGUAAUGGUAUCCCCACAGAGCUUCAUCUAAGAGGUAAUCCUGAACAAUGCAAAAUUGUACUCUGCCACUGAUUUGAAAUCCUGGAUUCUCAGGUGAGACCACUCAUAGCGAGCUCUUGGAAGAAUCACCGUUGUCUAGUGAUUGUAUCUGCAUCUCAAGGCCUCCCAGAGAGCUAACGGAUCUUCAACUGUUAAGUACUCGUUCUUUAGUGCCUCAUCAAGAUGGCGGCGAAUAAAGAUCAUGGCCUUCGCCCGAUCUUGAGAGGAUGAGCUGCUAUUUUCCCUGAUGGUAUCUCCAAGAUUCCCUGCCUCCAGAUGGAUUUUGGUAUCCAAUACCCAGGUAAGGUAAUUCUUCCCGGUAAUGUCCAGGGCAGCAUAUUCAAGCUUCGCCAAGUUCGCCAAGUUCGCCAUUUUCUUUUCUGAAAGAAAAUGAGAUGUGUAAGAACUUGCAAUAAUAUGUAUUCCUGGAGGAAUAUAAUGUUAGAACUUCUGGUUCUUACAAAUUUUUCAUUUUGAUCUUCAGGCCAAAAUGAUAAGCACUCGAAACUUCUGGCUUGAGAUUUUCAGGGUGAAUGAGAAGGGCGAUUGUACCGCACCAUUCUCCGCACCAUUCUCAUUGAAAGAAUGUAACAUGGAAUGGGCGAUUAUUCCGCACCACUCAAGUAGCAAGAAAAUUGAAAUACGCAAAGCAGGGUGGGCAAUUAUACCGCAUCACCUAAAAUUUCAAUGAAAUUAAACAGCAGGUAAAUUUAAAUUUGCAGAGCAAGGUGGGCGAUUAUACCGCUCCACCUGAAAUUUGCAGUAAAAGUAGAUCUGCAGUCCAAGAUAGGCGAUGAUACCGCACCAUCUUGGAUCGCAGUAAGAUGAAAUUUGCAGUUCAAGAUGGGCGAUUGUACCGCACCAUCUUGGAUUGCAGUAAAAUCAACAUAAAUAAAUACUGGGUUAGUAAUCAAUAUCCAAACCAAACAAGUAAUCAAAGAUGUAUGUAACCGCUAGUUGGAGAACUACGAGCAGGCAUGGAGCAAACAGUUCGUCGCGAGGGUAUACCGCGCAGUUGAGGCAGAGGAAGAAGAUGAACAGGAAAAACCUUAGAGGAAACAUUUUUUUUCGUUCGGCGGAGAGAAAUGAGAGAAUGAUUUCUUUUGGUGAAUGUAAAUGAGACAUAGUUAUAUUUAGAGACUCGUGCUGAUAACGUGUUAUAAAUAUAUCAAAAUUAGAGGGAUAACCUUUUUGAUAGGUGCGAAGCAGAUGUAAAAUUUCACACUAAAACUAUAGCUCAAGUGUAUGACAAAUAAAAGAUGGAGAAGAGAUUUCUUUCUUCUGUUCUUCUGUAUGUCUUUCCGUAUAUUUUGAUUGCAUUCGAGUGCUCUAUUUAUAGAGCAACUCGUAUUAUUACAAUUUGACAUUUAUAACAAACAGACAGAAAAACGAUCUCCUGCAUCCAAAGUCAAUUUCCAUUUUCAUGGGUAUUGAAAACUUAUGCCAAAGUUGAAAACCCAUUCUGUGUGAGAAUUGGAAAGUCUUCCAAGGUACUGUGGGCAUUCACUACCCAGCAGUAUUUUCAACAACAUACAUAUUAUUUGCCAAAUUCAUACAGGUGAAAAUUAAAAAUUGCAAUGUCGGAAAAAGUAAUUGAAAUUUUACAAUCUGAAAAGUCACGGCAGCUAACCUUUGUUAAAGAGUCUAAAAUCAAACAACUUUAAUUUUCCGUGUGGAAAAGUAUCUCACUAGAUAUGUCACAAUCCCAGUUAAAUUCGUUGAAGAAACAUAAACGAAGGGGACGAAUAUAAAAUUUCAAAAGAAUUAAGUAUAAAUUUAUUAUAACAUACGAUAAUAUACUAUUAAACAUGAAUUUUCAACAAUAAUAUAAUUACAUCAAAUCUGUUGAUUUGUUGCUGAUGAGACUUGUUCUGUUGAUCUUGGAUAAAUAGAAUUUGUGUUUGGAAAUUGGUUAUCCAAAAUUCUCAUUUUACACUUCAAACUUUAUAUAUUAGAAAGAAAAAUAAACUUGUGAUGACUGCAGAAUGAGAUUUUUGGAAUGCCAAUAACAUUUCCCUUUGUGUUUCUUCUUUACUAAAGAUUUGAGUCUUUGAUGCAAAGAAACUUACCAAUGUAUGUUAAACAUGAUCAAUUAGCUUAAGAAAAUUUUCACAGGAUGAGCCAAGUUUUUCGUUAUUAAACAAAUACGUGUUAAAAUUCAGAAAAAAGCCAAACUUGAAACAUAUAUGUACAAGAAGCGAUGAGAAAAAAAAAGUGUAAAAAAAAGAGAUGUUUGUGAAAUGUAUUAUAUAAUUUAUUUAAUUAAACUGAGAGAAUUAAAAUUAGUGGCUAAAUAUACAAUGGACUACAUUUGUAAAAUAAUGAAAAUUACAUGUACAAUUUAUUUUUUUACCCAAAAGCUCAGAUUCCAGCGAGAAACUUGCAUUUAACCGUAAUAUUAUGUGACGAUUGCUGUAAAAACGUGUGAAUAUAUAUUUAAUGGAUUCCAAUGAUAUAUGUCCUCAUCUCUUGCUCGACGGGCCACAACAUUAGAAAUCGUCAAGCCAUUGACCGAGCAAUUGUGAGCACUUACUGCUACUUGAUCAUGGUGAUCAAUACAUCUCCCUGUAAAGAUGGCUGGUCGAUCAGCUUUAGAAAGAAUAAUGGUUUCACUUUUCAACAUAAGAACAAACUGAUGACAUGGUCGGCCUGUUGUUUGCAUCUUCUUGAACACACAAUAAUCCGAUAUGAACGUAUCUCAGGAAUUCAUUUGGACUGCAUGAGCCUUUCAACAACGGAUCCAUCACCUCCAACACUUUCCCUUCAUUCCAUAAUUUCCAAGCCUGCAAUUAUAAUUUCUUGCUAAUUAAGAAGGAAUGUAGUGAUAUAUUAUUAUAAAUUUUUAUAUACCUGUUUGGGCCCAAAAUAUUAGUUUGGGCCGAGUAUAGAAUCAUUAGUUUGGGCCGAGUAUAGAAUCAUUCUCGGCCCGGAAGGCCUUGCGACCAAGGUACCAUGGAUCGUUUAGUUCAUGGGCUUCCAAACCUAGGCCAGUUAGGUCAUGCUGCAAGACGAGUCGAGUCCUGGCGCAAUAAGGAGUCUCGGCAAGAUUCAUAACCCGGAAGUGAAUCCGUCUCAAUAAAGGACUAGGUUCACAAUUAUAGUGAAAAUAGGACUGGUCGAGUUGGUGUUUGAUCAGGAGAAGAAGACCUAAUCCGAGUAGGGUUCUAACUCGACUUUAAAGGUAUCCAGUGCUAUAAAUAGAGGAGGUUGUGCAUCAUUCAAGCCCCCUCCAAUUCAACACACAACUGCCAUGCGCAAACUCUCUCAACAACUCUAAGAUUUUUUAUUUUCUCUUUUCGCUGACACAUCUUCCGUUGGCAUCAACAGCACUGUGAAAGCAACUGGUGAUAUCUUAAGUCGGCAUAGAUAGCUCUGUCACCGUAGAAUUGGCCGCGCUCGCAGCAUCUUCCGUUGGCAUCAACAGCACUGCGGCGAGGACGAUUGGUUACCUAUCCAAGUCUCGGUCGAGAAGGAUUUCCGAAUCCUUAUUGAUUGAGGUCAUCUCAUUAGCCUUCUCGACGAAAUGAAGUGUUGCAGUUUACUGAGCUCGGCGCAUUGCACGCCGAGUUAUUUUAUGAUUGGAUACUCUCAAGUGGGAUUUAGAGUUCGACAUUCAGACGGCCGAACCACGUUCACUAUUAAGACUUAUAUUCGCUUUGAGUAUUUGUGCCCUUACACUUUGGUGUCGAUUCGGCGUGAGUUUACUCUGAUGAAUAACAUCACUGUGACCGAAUCUGACGACGGCGAUUCGUGAACUUCGUAAGAAUAGUAGCCUUGUCUUUAGGUUCGAGAACCCAAGAGGCCGAGACGUGUUCCUUCCUCGGCCGCAAUCGUAAAACACAGAAGUCAGCCGUGCACCCAACGCAACAUCAACAAAUUUACUCCUCGGCCGACGAGUUAGCACGCCCCGCAUUCACCGAAAGACGUAGUUAGCUUAUAGAUUACUCGGCCUGCGUGCCAUCCUCGUCACAUUCCUCCACUAUCCCUUCAUGGAGGACGCAGGUGUUUCUGUUAGGGAUUUCUAGACCGCGAAGCUGAUCGCCGAGAUUAACUUCCUUUUCUCGGUGAGUCACGCUUGUGGACUCAGGUGUCACGGCGUUAAGGGGAUUCUGCGCCUGUGACACACUUUGUCCUAUGUUCUAAAUUGGCAAAUCGGUUGUUGAUUUUCCCAUAGCUGUUUUCUUUUUUACUGAUCGUGUUUCAAUUGGCAUGAACUUCGUAGUUUAGCACUGGGUCCCACUGGGCGUGCCAAAAUGUUGACCCUAAAAACUACCAAGCCUACGUGGCGCGCAGGCCGAGUAAUCUAUAAGCUAACUACGUCCUUCGGUGAAUACGGGGCGUGAUAACUCGUCGGUCGAGCUCGGCCGAGGAGUAAAUUUGUUGAUGUCGCGUUGGGUGCGCGGCUGACUUCUGCAUCUUGCGAUUGCAGCCAAGGAAGGAACACGUCUCGACCUCUUGGGUUCUCGAACCUGAAGACAAGGUUACUAUUCUUACGAAGUUCACGAAUCGCCGUAGUCGAAUUCGGUCACAGUGAUGUUAUUCGUCAGAGUAAACUCACAUCGAAUCGACACCAAAGUAAGGGCACAAAUACUCAAAGCGAAUAUAAGUCUUAAUAGUGAACGUGGUUCGGCCGUCUGAAUGCCGAACUCUAAAUCCCACUUGAAAGUAUCCAAUCAUAAAAUAACUCGGCGUGCAAUGCACCGAGCUCAGUAAACUGCAACACCUCACUUCGCCGAGAAGGCUAAUGAGAUGACCUCAAUCAAUAAGGAUUCAGAAAUCGUUCUCGACCGAGACUUGGAUAGGUAACCAACCGUCCUCGCCGCAGUGCUGUUGAUGCCAACCGAAGAUGCUGCGUGCGCGGCCAAUUAUACGGUGACAAAGCUAUCUAUGCCGACUUAAGAUAUCACCGGUUGCUUUCACUUUGCUGUUGAUGCCAACGGAAGAUGUGUCAGCGAAAAGAGAAAAUAAAAAAUCUCAGAGUUGUUAAGAGAGUUUGCGCAGGGCAGUUGUGUGUUAAAUAGGAGGGGGCUUGAAUGAUGCACAUCCUCCUCUAUUUAUAGCACUGGAUACCUUUAAAGUCGAGUUAGAACCCUACUCGGAUUAGGUCUUCUUCUCCUGAUCAAACACCAACUCGACCAGUCCUAUUUUCACAAUAAUUGUGAACCUAGUCCUUUAUUGAGACGGAUUCACUUCCGGGUUAUGAAUCUUGCCGAGACUCCUUAUUGCGCCAGGACUCGACUCGUCUUGCAGCAUGACCUAACCGGCCUAGGUUUGGAAGCCCAUGAACUAAACGAUCCAUGGUACCUUGGGCGCAAGGCCUUCCGGGCCGAGAAUGAUUCUAUACUCGGCCCAAACUAAUAUUUUGGGCCCAAACAUUGCCCCCUCGCUUCUGAGGUCUUCGGCCUAAAUUCUUUGGUCGAGUUCCGACCUUGAAGAAGCGAAACUAAUACUCAAAAUCCAAAUAAUCUAUUUCCAAGGCGCAUUUAUUGAGCACGAUUGCAUGAUCUUGAUCCUGCUGACCAAUACACCACGUGGCAUCCUUUAACACGGCUAACCCCUAAUAAUGACGUCUACGACAUGCGGCUCCCUGAACCGUCAUGCCAUCGUGACCUUGUUGCUGAGCAUAACCAUGCCACCUUGAUCCGUGAACUAUUCUCACGUGCAGACGCCAAAACGUCUUUCGCCAUAAAUUUCGCCGCCACACGCAAUCGUGCGCCCCAAAAAACAUGAAACCCUCGGUCUUCUCAACUGGAUUAUCUGAAUGUCCAUAAUGAUUAGCGAAUUCUUCGGUCGAUUUUACCCUUCAUUUUGAAUUUCGAACGAUUACCGAAAUUCUCUCAUUUUGUACUUUACGCUUUCAAAUUCUCUGAAAUUUUUUGCCAUCGCUCUCCAGUGAAUCCCUUCCUUCCAGAUUUUCGUCUUCAAUCCUUAACCUAGAAAAUUCUUUUCUUGUCAUCCCUUCAAACCAUUCACCAUGGCCUCCUUUAUCUCCAAGCUUUCUAAGGAAUGUGUCCAAUGCCAGAAAAUCAUCGAUCGGAGUUCAAUCAAGACCAUCCGAUUUGAAAGUGACAUGAGUACCCCUCAUCAAAUCUUGGGUCCUCUCUUUAAAGCGGCAGUACCAUCAACCAUCACUGGACUUCUCCAGGAGCACUGUCUAUCACCCUUGCUACAAGGAUUUAAAUGGUCGAAAUGGGAUGUGGCAAGGCCUCAAGGCUCUUGGCCCUCGACCACUACAACCUGGGUAGCCUGGGUUGUACGAAUGGAAAAGCUCUUCGGCGAGCAAUGGAAAGCCCUAGGCAUCUACGACGCCAUUCACCUUUCGUCCAUGGAGGUCAUCCUAGACAAGAAGCUCCUCCUAGCGGCCUUAUGCUUCUAGUGUUCAGCCACCAACACCAUGGUCCUUCCUGUCGGCCCCAUUAGCCCCACCAUCCUUGACCUUACUGCCAUCUUGGGGACUUCCCCGACUAGAAUCCCAAUCGACGCUGCCCUCUCUGGUACCCGUCGAACCUUAAUUUGAAGGCGCUCUUCGACAAACGGGCCCUUGAGACGCUAAGCGGUGAAGGCCAAACACCCUCGAAAGAAGAGGUUCACAAGCUUCACAAAAACUUCUUCAACUAUAACACCCUCUAUCUCCAUUUUGCCGGCCGAGGAGAAGAGGCUCUGCGAGAAAGGGAACAUGAGGCUUUCCUCUUCUAUUAACAAAUUUAUCUGUUGUACCAAAUCUAAUAAGUGUCUGGUCGAGAAUAUGCUAGUGGCCGAAACCCUAGCUAGCGGUCAGAUUCUGGCACUCAGCCCGGCCAUUCUCGCCCAUUUCCUACGCUGCUUGCCCGAAGCGACCCUAGAUAAGGUCGAUCCUCAGCAGAAUGGUCCCCUCUGGGUCUUCCAACUCUGGCUGCAGGUCUACUUUGCUCCUCUUCGGCCAACGAUUGUUGAUUUCUCGCCUAAGGAAGCGCUCGGCCCUCAGCUGGCUUUUCGGCCAAUCCCCCCUCACCAAGCCGAAGAAGUGUUCAUAUACUUUUUCGCUCUUGACGACCUUUCUAAUGACGAGUUCUUAAUCUGUCGUCGUCGAGAAUACCCUUCGUCGAUCAGACUUCCUACAUCAGCAUGGGGCGCGGACGAAGAUGCUGACCUUCGUCAAUCCUGGGGGUCUUUCGUGCUUGCCCGCGACCUGCCUCUCUACUGUGAGGGUCGCCGAGCGAGUUGGGAAGUGUAUCAUCCCAACUUCCUUGCUCGGUAGCUUGGCUAUCUCCAAGGUUGCCCAGUCCCCCUUCUCUCCUCACGGUUCGUCCUAAGCUGCGAACGCGAACUUGGCUCGUUAGAGAAUGAAUGCAACGACGCCAAAAAGGAGUUCCAAGAGCGAUGCCAAAAAUUCCGUCUUCGACCGGUCACUCCAGAAUCUCUUUGCACUGACACUUUCGGUGAUUGGUGGGAAGAGUAUACCCAACAGUUUUUUGGUGUUCCGGUCGAAGCCUUUCUAAACAAAAUUUUCGGUGGACAACCUAAGAAGGCUUCUCCCCCCAACCCCAAGGUAACGGUUUAUUUCUACCUUUUUCCCUUUAAUUUUGAACUACUGAUCUGCUUUGCUGAUUUGCUUUUACUUUCCCAGGUAGUUGGUCAUUGAAGAAAGUGGAAGUAGUUGCUGCAGCUGCGAUCGAGAAAAAAUCGGCCGUCUCGAAGAAUGCUAAGACCAUUGUGCAGGCCUCGCUGAGCAAACGAUCUCGUCAACAGGCCGAGCUGGCCAUCGAACCUCAUCGGCCUGCCAAACGGGUCAAAAAACUGGCGAAGAAAGGAGAACGGGAGAUUCACGUUAUCUCCAGUCAAACUACGGGAGCGACAACUCCCAGUGUUUCCUCUUCUCCCCCCAUUUCCCAAGCCUUGGUUGAGAAACGGCCAAUUCCGGCCAAAGAAACAACCCAAGUACGGCCUGUUUCUAAGGUCGGUAAACCAGCUGUUGUUCCACCGGUCGAGGCUAUAUCUGUCUUGGAAGAGGCAGUCCCCGUGGCUGAGAAAACUCAACCUGAAAAUCCAAAAACCACGGCAUUCGUUCUGGAAGAGAGCAACGGGAGCGACGAGUUUCCACUGGCGAGUCGCCCUCAACCACAUCAUCAAACUCCUUCUGUGUCCGAGGCAGCUGUCCAAGUCGGCCCUUCUACGGCCGAUCGUGGCAAAAGACCUGACGAAGAGCCAGAUGCGACGGCGGAUAUGCUUGUUCAUCCGCAGGACCAGGACCUCAACAUUCCUCCGCAGGAAGCCACUUCGGCUUUCGUAAGUACCCCUACCGCCUUUCCUCGGUUAUUUCUCUGCCUUAGAACUCUAAACCAGGAAAAUCUAAAUGUCAGGUGCCUGCCCACUCUUUUCAUCAAAAAUUCUAUGCGCCGACGGGUGUUGUCUAUAUUUCUUGGCCGCCUCAGUGGCAAUCGAACGUAGAUAACCUCCAUCGGCCGCGUGAACUCAGAAGCAAUCUAAGACACUGGGCUCGGCCAUUAAGUUUUUUAGGUUCGAGCAACGAACCUGAAGACAUGGCCGAAGUCUCCUCUCGGCAGGUUUAAAACAAAACCUUCUUGCUAUCUUUUUCGUGAUUUUCUUGAGCCUAAACUGAUUUUUGUGUGCAGUAUUCAUGGGAGGUCGAGUUUAAAGCUCGCUUGUCGAGCACUACCGCAGCGGCCGGUCCUUCGACCACUACAACUGAACCCGCUGAUUCGACCGCUCUGGUUCGGUUGCAAGAAGUCUUGUCUCUCUCGGCGUCGUAAGUCUUUGAGUGCAAAGGUCUUGAUUUUCUGGGUGCAUGUCUAAACGACCUCGGAGCCGAUGGUCAACUGAGCGCCGAGGCAUCGUUCAGGCGUCAUCCGCCUUGAAGUGAGUUCGAGAAACCUUUAGUGUCUUUGAGAACGCUCUGAGGGCCGAACAAGUUCUGCAAGCUGCCACGGCCGUCUAAGACACUCUCCGUCCGAAGAUUGAUGCUUUAAAGGCAAAAGGGGAGGCCUUGGUCAACCUUGACCGUCAAAUGGCCGAAUUGGCAAAACGAAGGUCGACUAUUGCUUCCGAGCUUGCGAAGGACUUCGAAUCGGGCGGCAAAGCUUGUUUAACCGAAUAUGCGGCUAGCACAAAAUGGGUCGAGCAGUUGAAAAUGGACAAGAAGAACCGGCAGGCCGAGGUCAUAAUAGGCGAAGUGCGGUGGUUGGAGCUGAAGGCCCUUCUCGGCACUCUUCUUCCUUCUUCACCCUGAAUUUAUUUAUAUGUAAACUGAUCGACCUACUCAAUUUGUGUAUUCUCUUAUCGAUCUUAAUGAACUGAUUUUCUAUGCCCGCAUUUCCCAUGUGACCGGAUAAUACUUCUUCAAAAACUUCCCAUUGAUUGGUAAUUUGUGAACUAAACUGAUCCGGUCUCUAAGAUGUCGUAUACUUUAUGUACAACAAACAGCCCUUCCCAAUUUGGCGACCAUUUGCCGAACUUAGGGUCUUUUAGUCCUACGGGCAACACCAUUUGCCAAACCAAUUCUCCCUCGCUAAAUGUUUUCUGUCGGACCUUUUGAUUAUAGGCUCGCUCGGCAAUCUGUUUUUGUGCCACCAGUAAGUUAUAAGCAUCAUGUCGCGCUUCUUCUAAAUCUUCUAGCUCCUGUCUCAUGGACUGAUUAUAUUCGGCACUAAACAGACUACUUUGUUCAAUUAGUCGCAACGAAUUUAUGCUUAACUCGACUGGUAACAUUGCAUCAUGUCCGUAAGUUAGUGCAUACGGGGUUGUCCCAGUCGCCGAUCGGGGCGAUGUUCGAUAUGCCCAUAAAGCCUCAUUCAACUUUAAAUGCCACAUGCCAGGCCUUUCCUUUAUUAUUUUCUCAAGAAUGCCAAUCAACACUUUAUUACUUGCCUCGGCCUGCCCAUUUGCUUGUGGAUAAUACGGUGUAGACUGUUGAAGCCGAAUUUUCAAACUUGCCGUAUACUUUUUAAACCUUUCGGCUGUAAAGAUUAUGCCAUUGUCAGAUACGAUCGUUUCUGGUACGCCAAAUCUGGUCACAAUGUGUUCCUCCACAAAGUCGCAAACCUCUUUAGAUGUUAGCUAGGCAUAUGAUUUCGCUUCGACCCACUUAGUGAAGUAAUCGGUUGCUACCAGUAUCCAUGCGUGCUUGGCAGCCCCAGAAGAUGGUGUGAUUUUGCCGAUUACGUCCAUGGCCCAUCCUCUAAACGACCAUGGUUUAGUGACCGAAUGUAAUGAUUCGGUCGGGACCCUUUGUAUAGGACCAUGAAUCUGGCACUGUAUGCACCCUCGUGCAAACUCGAUACAAUCCUUUAGUAUUCUUGGCCAAAAAUAGCCGUGUCGUCGAAGUAGCCAUCGCAUUUUUCGUCCGAACUGAUGAGCUCCGCAAACCCCUUCAUGGACUUCUGUGAUUGCUGAGCACCCUCUUGGGGGCCGAGGCAUAGCAGUAAUAGACCAUCCUCGCCUUUUCGGUAUAACUCGUUUUGAUACAUGACAUAGUUCGUGGCGUAAACUCUUGUCUUGCGAUCGUGUUUGCCAUUGGGAUUGUCAAGAUACUGCAUAAUGGGUUUUCUCCAAUCAUCUGGUAUUGCCUCGACAGCGCAAACAUCUAUAAGGUCUUGUCGAUCUAACAACGAAGGUAAGGACAUGACUCUUAUACGUAUCACGUUGUCGCGUUGAAUGACUUACUGGUUAACCAGGGCCGGGUAUAGCUGUCGCAACACGGGUAUUUCUCUGCCUAGUUUACCCCCCAAGAGUUGUGCGCCGGAGGCGAUUUGAGCCAAUUCGUCUGCGUUGGUAUUAUGACUCCAGGAAAUAUGUUUAAAUGUAAUACCGUCGAAGGAUUAGGCUAAAUAGCUGGUGACCAUGUGGUAGGGUGCCAGGGUACAACUCAUGCAUCGAAAAGAACCAUUAAGGUGGUUAAUCACAAGUUCGGAGUCGCCGAGGAUGAGGGCACGGGUCGCCCGUAAGUCAUGAAGGAUUCCAAGGCCGAUGAUAAGGGCUUUGUAUUCAACUUGAUUAUUGGUGCAUUCAAAAUCCAACUUGAGCGAAAAAUACUAACGAUCGUGGUUUGGGGAUUGAAUGACAAUUCCAACGCCAGCCGAGGAUGAAGUACUUGAGCCAUCAAAGUACAUCGUCCAGUGGUUGUCGCGUGUUUUAAUCAUGCCGAUUUCGACAUCGUUGCCCCCAAAACCAUAUGGGGAAGGGUGUUGAGCAAGGAAAUCAGUUAGUGCCUGGCCUUUGACCGCUUUCUAGGGCACGUAUUGCAAGCUAAAUUCGGACAACGCCAUUAUCCAUUUCCCGAUUCGGCCUUUUACGAUUGGUCGGGUGAGCAUGUAGCGGAUGACGUCGGUCUGAGCAAUGACUUGGGUGACCGAUAGGAGCAUAUAAUGCCUAAGCUUGGAGGCGGCAAAAAAUACGGCUAGGCACAGCUUCUCGACGACGGGAUAAUUGAUCUCUGGUUGAUUGAGAUUUCGACUUAGAUAAAAAAUAGCCUGUUCUUGUCCGGUGUCGUUGUCUUGCACGAUGAGGCAGCCGAUGGACUCUUCGGCCGCCAAGAUAUAGAGCUUAAGAGGCUUACCGCGCCGAGGUGGGACGAGGACAGGUGGUGUCGUGAGGGAGACUUUGAUUUUCGUAAAUGCCGCCUGAUGCUCGUCGUUCCACUCGAAUUUAUAUAAGUCCUUGAGUUUCAAAAGCGUAGAUAACGCUUUCAUUUUUCCCGCCGAGUUAACGAUAAAUCGGCGGAGAAAAUUUAUCUUACCGAGUAAGGACUGGAGUUGUUUCUUCGUCAUCAGGGGUGGGGCAUUGAUUAUUGCACAUGCUUUAUUUUCAUCUACUUCAAUCCCACAGUGAUGCACGAGGAAACCGAGAAAAUUACCGGCUGACACACCGAAGGCACAUUUGGCAGGAUUCAUUUUGAGGUUGUGUUGACGCAUGCGGAGGAAAGCAUGUCGGAGAUCGUCCAGAUGUGUCUGCCAGCGUUUAGAUUUGAUUACAACAUCGUCGAUGUAAACUUCGACGAUGGUGCCAAUUAAAUCAUGAAAGAUGGUGUUCAUUGCUCGUUGGUACGUGGCACCGGCGUUCUUGAGGCCGAAUGGCAUGACAACCCAUUCGUAUGUGCCGAGUGCCCCCGGGCAGCGAAAUACGGUCUUGUGGACAUCGGCUUCGGCAAUGAAAAUUUGGUUGUACCCAGCAUGUCCAUCCAUAAAAGAUAAGAUCGCAUGAUUCGCUGUAGCAUCAAUUAACAAAUCCAAAAUCGGCAUUGGAUACCCAUCUUUGGGAGUUACCAGAUUCAGGUUUCGGAAGUCGAUACAAAUGCGCAAUGCACCACUUUUCUUUAAAACAGGAACGAUAUUUGCCAACCAUUCAACGUAUCGAGCUGUCCGAAUGAACCCUGCUUUUAAGAGACGAACGAGUUCAUCCUUGAUGCCGAGUUGCACUUCGGUCGAGAAUCGUCGAGGUGGUUGACGGAAAGGUUUACACCCAGGCUUAAUGCGUAACUCAUGCUCGAUGAAAUUGCGAUCUAAGCCGGGCAUCUCGUGGUAGCUCCAAGCAAAACAAUCUUUGAACUCCUAAGCAGAGCACGAAGUUCGGCUUUCAUAGGUUGGGGGAGCAAAGCACUAAUAAAUAAAGGUUGUGGGUCAUCGGCCGUUCCAACGUUAAUUUCUUCCAAUGGGUCCUUGACUUGGGGCCGAGUGUCUUCAAGCUCGGCCAGGGCAGCUUGAAUUUUGUCAAGAGAUAAAACAAGAUUGUUUUCUCCUUCGGCGAGGAACUCUACGAGGUUAACGCCUGAAUUUGGUUGUUUAGAGAUGGUAUACCAAUGGGCCAGCAGUCGUUCCAUAGUAGAUGAAACCGCGGCCCGAUGUUUUUCCCGAUCGGUGUCAGACAUCGGGAUCAGAGAUGAAGUCAGCUAACCCAAGUCUCGUCGAAUCCUGGUGGACAGUUUCGGCACCAACCUCGAUAGCUUUCUGAAUAGAAAUCUGAGUCGGUCGUCCUUCAUCAUUGAAACCUUGUAGGGUGAUGUAGCCGACGUGGUCAUCAUAAUACCGUGCUUGGAUCAUGUUAGUUUCGAAAGGCUGAGCAUCGGUCGGGUGAACAAUGACCGAUUUACCAUCCCAAAAAAUGAGCACUUGAUAUAAUGACGAAGGAAUACAGCUGGUUUGAUGAAUCCAGUCUCGACCGAGCAGUGCAUUAUACUCGGUUUUACAGUCGACGAUGAAAAAGGCGGUCAUGUGAUUACGGCCGGCGAUGUUUAUCGCUAAAGGAAGCAUUCUUUUGGUCUGAGACUUGUCACCGACAAAACUACUCAUGGUUAUUCCUGAAGGAAUGAGUUCGUCGGUGGAUCGUCGUAAGGCCUUCAUGAUAGAUACAUGCAUGAUAUUGACUGUUGCUCCGCAAUCGACAAAAAUCUUGGAGAUUGGGUAGCCUUCAAUAUAGGCCGUGACAUACAACGGUUUUAAAUGUUGAAGAUUAGUCGAGGAGGAACGGGGAAACAAGAUGUCCAAGGCUGUUUUAAGUUUAUCCUCGCCAUUAGUUAGUUCGUCCUCAAGAGUAGUGACAAAAUCAACUUGUGAUGCCUCCUCGGUGACAACAUCGCCGUCUAAGGAACUUGGUUGGUGCGUAGUCAGUUGAAAUUCGGCGGGAAGAACAUAAACCAUGCUGAUUUCCAUAUUUUCAAGGACUGAAGAGCCCAUUGGAUCCUGGUCGUCAUCUUUCGGAGUGGGGAGGACUAAAUCAUUGUGUGUUGGAGCAUUUGCGACCAAUUCACUGUGUGUCUCAACACAGUCAGGCGCUUGAGUCACACAAGCCGACACUGUGUCCUGGUGACUGUUGUCUUUGGACUUGCAUAUGUCUGGCGUCGGAUUUUGUUCCUGCCGUAUUUGGCGAGCUCGUUCCUCAUAGGCGAUCCGGGCAUUCCUGGUGUCCAGGUAAGCGUCCAGACGUGUCACCCGUUUUAUCUCAUCGGCUGUUAAACCGAACAAGGAGACAGCCGAAAAGACUUCGAAGUGAUAUCGAAGGUGUUGAAGGUCUUCGAAAGAAAAAGGAAACUCGGCUAUGUCAAUGUCCAUGUAUGGAUCGACCUCGAAGCCGAGAACCUUAGCCUCUCGAAUGUGCUGGAAUCUAGCUUUUAUCAUCGGAUCGGUGGUUUUUUGGAUGAUCUGCUCAACAUCAGGGCAAGUUAAUGCCAGGUCAAGAGCUUCUUGGCAGGCCUUGGCAACCCAUAUAAAUCAUUGGCGGAAUAUUUCUUGUGAAAUUCUUUCAUAUAUUCUAAUGAUUCACCGAGGAAUGGGGGAUGCAAAUUCUACCGAACUUUGAUUAGAGGUUCUUUUGACGGUAAUGGGGGUAGUUGGCUUUCGGCCUCUUUCUUGAAUUGCUCGAAACGAGCUUUCAUUUCCCCGGGCUGAAGAAGAAGUUUGAUAUGCAUCUCGGCUGCUUCAAUGGUAGUUUCGAAGUCUCGAUUGGUUUCCUUUUGCCUUUUUAGUUCAGCCAUGAUUGUUGGGGUUGGACGAUCAUCUCCACUCCCUGCUGUCCCUUUCGGCUGCCAUUUAGUGGCCGAAACAGGCUGGGCUACUUGCCGUCGAGCCAAGCAAUCUAUUCGCUGACGUCGACGUUUCUGAGACUUGGACAGCAAGGUAUACAUACCAGUGGGAGAAUUAUAGCUAUACCAACGUUGGUCGCGUGGUUCAGGCGGCUUGAAGCUUUUUUGAUUCGCUGAUGAACUUAAGCUAUUGGAGUUACGUGAAUAAUACUCCUCGUUAUAAAAUGGUGCGUCGAAAUCAAGGCGCCGUCUGACCGAGGUAGAGCCAUCCGUCUGUUGCUUAGGACCGAGCCUUUCGAAUACUUUGACGCAUUGGCCUUCACUCGGUUUCUUUGAAGGUGCUACCGAGAUCGCCGAUUGUUGCCAAGGCGUCGACGUCUGAGGCAAUUUCUCCUUGGGCUCGAUUAAAAUAACGCGUGCUUUACAAUUACUGCACAAGACUACCGGCCCGCCAUUUUCCUCAUCGUUGGAGUCUGACAUGGAUUGAACUAUUGCUGGUCCUGAGAAUUCGGUAGGCAAUGCAUUGGAAAAUAGAUCGAUCUUGAGUCGAGGCUGAGAAUUUUUCUUGAGGAUGUGUUGCACUGGGGCAAGCUCGAUCUUCUCUUUCCCUUUGCUUUUGGGCAAACGGGCAUCUACCAUGCCAACUGUUGCCGAAAGGAAUGGGUCCGUAUCGACCGUCAUGUGUUUUUCAGGAAAUUUCAACUUGCCUUUGUCAAUCCAGCUCUGGAUAUCAUCACAAAAUAUGACACAAUUGUUUGUGGCAUGCUUGGUCGAGUUAUGAUAUUUACAAUAUGUCUUUUCUUUAAGCUCUUCGGCCGUGGGAAUGUUAUGCCCUGGCCGAAGUUUGAUGAUCGUUGUCGAUAGCAAUUGAUCAAAAAUUACUUCGGCCUUUGUAAUAUCAAAGGUGUAAACUUUUGAAGUUUUCGCUGUCCCUUCCGUCGCUGAGCGAAUUUUGGCAUCCUUGGAAUUAAUUUGAGUCAACGCCUUACAAAUGUAUGGUUUAUCAAUUACUAUCUCGGCCGCGUCCACGCUGACGUACUGAGACUCUUCGCCUUCAGUCGAAGCAUAACUUACCGUGGGAUUUUUGUAAAUCAUCCAUCGAGAUAGGAAUUUCGAGAUCUUCUCCUCUCGGAGCAAAUAGUCAUAUUGCUCGACAUGCUGGGCUAAUUCAUACAUUUCUCGAAAGUUUUCCCCCAAGAAAUUCUUUUUGUAUUCCACAUCGACGCCGUUCAGAACAAGUCUGACAAAUUCGACUUCGGGUAAAGGCACUCGGCACCAAUUCCUGGUUGAUUUGAAUCUGGUAAGAUAAUCCAUUGGUGACUCAUCAGAUGCUUGAGCCAUCCUCGCUAAUGAAGAAACUGACAUUUCUAUCCCUGGCCGAUAAAACUGCUCGUGAAAUUUCUCGACCAACUCUUCCCAGCUUUGGACGGAAUUAGGAGAGAGGUUGAUAUACCAGGCAAAUCCUGAGCCGGUCAAUGAAAAGUUGAACAGCAGUAGCUUAUGAAAGUCACUAUUGACAUCUCCGCAUUGCGCGGUGAAACGAGCCACAUGUUCCAACGAAGACAGGGACGACUCACCAGCAAAAAGGCUAAAAUCUGGGAUUUUGAAACCUUUAGGGUAUUCGAAUGUUUCCACAUAAGCUGGAUACGGAUGGAUAAAUUUAGGGAACUUCGGCCCUUUUUUCAUGGCCGAAUCGAUCAUCCGCUGAACCUCGGUCACAUCAACGGGUGUUGCUUCUACUCUCUGGUCGGAUCCGUCUGACCUACUAUUUGAUCCUCCCUUUUUUUCAUGUCAAUUGCUUUGAGCCGAGAAGGGAUUGACUCGACCUGUACAAUUGGUAACAUAUUAUUUCUUGGUGGCAAGUGCUGGGAAAGAUCGAAAGACAUGUCGUCGCUAACCUUACUAACCAGUAUUUCGAGCAAUCUGGUUUGUGUCUCACUGGUACUGCGUAUCACAUCAUGCAGUUUAUCGAUUCCUCGACUAAGCGUCUGUUCAACCGUUCGAGACUGCUCGUCAAGUCGUUUUCGAAGAAACGAUCUUGUUGGUGGAUCAGAACCUUUACCACCAUCCUCGUCACAUUCCUCCACUAUCCCUUCAUGGAGAACGCAGGUGUUUGUGUUAGGGAUUUCUAGACCGCGAAGUAGACUGCCGAGAUUAACUUCCUUUUCUCGGUGAGUCGCGCUUGUGGACUCAGGUGUCACGGCGUUAAGGGGAUUAUGCGCUUGUGACACAUUUUGUCUUAUGUUCUGAAUUGGCAAAUCGGUUGUUGAUUUUCCCAUAGCUGUUUUCUUUUUUACCGAUCGCGUUUCAAUUGGCAUGAACUUCGUAGUUUAGCACUGGGUCCCACUAGGCGUGCCAAAAUGUUGACCCUAAAAACUACCAAGCCUACGUGGCGCGCAGGCCGAGUAAUCAAUAAGCUAACUACAUCCUUCGGUGAAUGCGGGGCGUGCCAACUCGUCGGCCUAGCUCGACCGAGGAGUAAAUUUGUUGAUGUUGCGUUGGGUGCGCGGCUGACUUCUGCGUCUUACGAUUGCGACCGAGGAAGGAACAUGUCUCGGCCUCUUGGGUUCUCGAACCUGAAGACAAGGUUACUAUUCUUACGAAGUUCACGAAUCGUCGUCGUCGAAUUCGGUCACAGUGAUGUUAUUCGUCAGAGUAAACUCACGCCGAAUUGACACCAAAGUGUAAUGGCACGAAUACCAAAGCGAAUAUAAGUCUUAAUAGUGAAAGUGGUUCGGCCGUCUGAAUGCUGAACUCUAAAUCCCACUUGAGAGUAUCUAAUCAUAAAAUAACUCGGCGUGCAAUGCGCCGACCUCAGUAAACUGCAACACCUUACUUCGCCGAGAAGGCUAAUGAGAUGACCUCAAUCAAUAAGGAUUCGGAAAUCGUUCUCGACCGAGACUUGGAUAGGUAACCAACCGUCCUCGCCGCAGUGUUGUUGAUGCCAACGGAAGAUGUUGCGAGCGCGGCCAAUUCUACGGUGACAGAGCUAUCUAUGCCAACUUAAGAUAUCACCGGUUGCUUUCAUAGUGUUGUUGAUGCCAACGGAAGAUGUAUCCGCGAAAAAAGAAAAUAAAAAAUCUCAGAGUUGUUGAGAGAGUUUGCGCAGGGCAGUUGUGUGUUGAAUUGGAGAUGGCUUGAAUGAUGCACAGCCUCCUCUAUUUAUAGCACUGUAUACCUUUAAAGUCGAGUUAGAACCCUACUCGGAUUAGGUCUUCUUCUCCUGAUCAAACACCAACUCGACCAGUCCUAUUUUCACUAUAAUUGUGAACCUAGUCCUUUAUUGAGACAGAUUCACUUCCGGGUUAUUAAUCUUGCCGAGACUCCUUAUUGCGCCAGGACUCGACUCGUCUUGCAGCAUGACCUAACCGGGCUAGGUUUGGAAGCCCAUGAACUAAACGAUCCAUGGUACCCUGGUCCCAAGGCCUUCCGGGCUGAGAAUGAUUCUAUACUCUGCCCAAACUAAUAUUUUGGGCCCAAACAGUAAGAUAAUUUACUAAAUAGAGGAAAUUAUGUAUAUGAGUUGAAACUUACUAGGUGUUGACAAUUCUUUUGGUGUUUCCUUGAGUUUGAUCAUCGACUCCAAACAUUCUUGACAUACCAAAGUCUGAUAUUUUUUUAUUCAUAUUGUCAUCUAACAUGAUGUUACUCGCUUUUAGAUCACGAUGUAUAACUCUAUGCCUUGAAUCUUCAUAAAAUAAAAUAAAAUGUCGUACCCAGUGCACAAGGCUCCCGCUUUACGCAGGGUCUGGGAGAGGUGAAUGUCGGCUAGCCUUACCCCCAUUUAUGGAGAGGCUGCUCCCAAGUCUCGAACCCGAGACCUACCGCUCAUGGGCGAAGGCACUUGCCAUCGCACCAAGUGCGACCUCUUAUGCCUUGAAUCUUCAUGAAGAUAUAAAAUUCCUAGAGUGAUUCCUCCUAUUAUCAUGCAUCGGCUUGACCAAUCCAGUUGCUCACGUUUUUUGGAUUCUAUAUACUCACUUCAAUUUAUUAAAUAUAUACAAUAAUAUCGUAUCUAUGUUCGAAAUUACUAAUUUUUUUCAGAAUGAUGUACUCUUACCAAAAAGAAAAUAAUCAAGACUUUUGUUUGGCACAUAUUCAUAAACAAGUAGGGUUUCCUCUCCUUCCAAACAAAAUCCCAGAAGCCUAACAAGAUUUCUAUGUUGAAGUUUGGCUACCAAUGCAAUCUCGUUCUUAAAUUCUUGGACGCCAUGUCUAGAGCUUUUUGACAACCUCUUCACUACAAUUUCUUGUUCAUUAGCAAGUGUUCCCUGACAUAUGAGGCAUUUUAUCCAAUCAAUUUCGUUAACAUGUAUCUUAUAUAUGUUUAGAAUAGUACAAGUUGAACCCGAGAUUCUAAGAAUUGAGCACUGUAUAUUAAGAAUCAAUAAUUUCAAAGACAAAAUAAGGGAAGAUAUAUGUUCGCAUUUUCAAUUUUCAUACCUUGAAAACUACACCAAAUCCGCCUUCACCUAGCUUGUUAUUAUCGGAAAACUUGUUUGUGGCGGUUUCAAUAGCUCCCAAGUCGAAUUGCAAGGACUCAACAGUCUUUGUAUCAUCCUUAGCUAAGACGGUCAGUUUCAAAAUAUUACAUGUAAUGGACCAGAAAAACAUAGUGAGCAAAUGAUAACCAUGCACACUCAUCGAAUUGAAUAAAUCAAACGAAAACUAUUUCAUGAUAAACUAAUGUUACAGUUUUCAGGAAACUAAAUUGGCAAAAGUUCCAACAUGAGAUGAGAUAGUGUGACAAUAAGCGUUGCACUUACCUUCAACUUCAAGUUGUACCUCUCGUUUCUUGACUCUCGAGUAAACGCAUAUGCUGCUGAUAAUGGUAACAAAAGCAACCAAAACCACGACCACCACGAUGAUGAUAAUUACUUUUGUGUUACUCGUCUGUGCUGCUGGAACCGGAGGUGGAAUAUUUGCUGGCGAGACGAAAAGUUCACGACACCAUAAAUUGGAAUUGUUAUUGAAUUAAAAUUAAUAUCUUUUUGGGGGCUAGUGUACACCUUUGGGCCCCUCCCUGUUGGAGGCUGGCGGCGGUGGGGCGGGGGAGUAUAAGGGGUAAACUUCAAACCUAAGAUUGCAACUGGGAUAUAGAAGUCGUCCCCCAGCGUUUCUUCUACCAAUUUGUGUUGCAACUCCCAGAAGACACCAAUUGCAAUCUCCAGAGGACAGGUCCUGUGUGCACUGCCCAAGUCCGUACAACUUAAUGAAAAUCCAGAGAGACGAAGCUCUGGGUUUGUUGGGGAGAUGAUCGAAGCCGAUAAUUUUGAAAAUCCAGAGAGACGAAGUUCCGAGUUACAGAAAUGGAGGCCAGGUUUGUAUGGUUUUGGUUUUGGUUUUGGGAAGCAGGAGUCGAUGCUAUUGCAGAGAUCGGCUCAGUUUUGGGUUCUGGCUGCUUAAGGUUUGAGAAAGGAGAAAUGAAAGCCAAAUGGGUCUGUUUCUGUCCUUCUCUCCCAUCCCUCUCAAUCUCUCAAUCACCGACAGCUACCCAUUAAUUUAGCUUCUAGUGGCAAUUUAGACACCUUAAUCACGACACCAACCCUUUGAUUUGAGGAGAAAAAAUGGAAUUGGAUCCUCUCCAAGGCAAAUCCUCGGGAUCCUUCUGAUCCAACGGUUACAAAUAGAAAGCCUCCUUUAAACUUAUAAUAAUUGUAGUCGUUAGAUCAAAAUUCAACGACUCGUGUUAUUGGAUCAGGAGGAUCCCAAGACUUUGCCUCGGAGAGGAUCCAAUUCCAGAAAAAAUCGACCCUAACCCCCUUUUUGGGCAGCCUAACUCCUCCCUCUCCCUUCCCCUCCCUGCCAUCCCACCCCUAUCUCCCUCUCCUUGUCUCUGCAGCCCAUGUUUUUGGCAAUAGCAAAAAUGUAAAUAAUUUAAAAUCGAGAGCCCAUCUCAGAACAAACAUAAAUAGACUGGGAAAACCGUAAAUAUAUCGAAGUCUGGUCAGAGACAAAAUUACCCUCCUAACUUUUCAUAAUUACCCUCUAAACCCAAGCACAUAUCUGGUAGCAGUGGUGUAAAUAAAGCAAAAUCGAGUGUCAAUCAUUUGACUAAGCUACAGUCAAAUGCCUCUUUAAUUUUAGAAAGGAAAACUAAUGAAAACACUUGAAAGCUUUGAGUUUUAACGAUAAGUACAAAAUAAAGGGUAAAGUGAAUAGUAUCGAGAUUGACUUUUUAGUGUAAAAAUAUGGUUUUUCGUUAAAGUGAACAGUAUCGCGGGUUUUUCGUUAAAACUCCCAUUUUAGAAUAGAUAAUGCCGUUAUCGUUUAAUAAGUGCUUGCAACUUGUUCAAAAGGUGCACUAUUAUGUCCAAUGACCAAUUAUUUAGUGGUGAAUUGGUUAAAAAAAAAUAAAAAAUAAAAAGUGAUCUAGAGAGAUCAAAUUUUUAAACUUUUUUUUUUUUAAAUUAAAUGAUAUGGUUGUCAAUAAUUAAAUUACAUUAAUUAAUGUACUUAUUUUUUAAUUGAUAGCACGUCUUUUAAUUUAAAAUUUUAGUUGUCCUAAUAUUAUCUUUGAUUAAAGAGAGUUUUAACGAAACACUUCCGGUAUUAUUCACUUUUAACGAAAAACCAUAUUUUUACUUUUCCAUGGUACUAUUCACUACACCUUUAUUUAUUAUUUUUCGUUAGUUUUCCUUUGAUUAAACCCACCCGAAUUGCCAACUUUUAUUGUUUGCUGUGUCAUAUUAAAUGUGAGUUGGUGUUGAAGCUAUCUCAAUGGUUCAUUGUCUUUAUCAUCAAAUUCAUAGUAAAAAAAAUACAAGGGGAGAGAUAGAAAAAUAUAAAAUAGUAGUAGUUUGAAGCAAAGUAAAAUGUAAUGGGGACGGGAGUGGUAAGAGUGUGACGCCAAACUCGCCAGUUAUGUAUGGGGAAUUCAGCUUGGUGUGAAUUUUUCUGAGGAUUAUUUAGUUGGCAAUGAUCCAUGUUAGUGGGCCAAGAGAAUCCCAAGGCUUCGCCUCGAAGAUGAUCCAAUUCCAGAAAAAAAUCGACCCUAACCCCCUUUUUGGGCAAGCCUAACUCCUCCCUCUCCCUUCCCCUCCCUGCCAUCUGUAACAUCCCACAUCGUCCAGGGGAGUGAUCCUUAAAUGUAUAUUCUCAUCCCUACCUAACACGAGGCCUUUUGGGAGCUCGCUGGCUUCGGGUUCCGUAGGAACUCCAAAGUUAAGCGAGAAGGAGGCCAGAGCACUCCCAUGAUGGGUGACCCACUGGGAAGUUGCUCGUGAGUUCCCAGAAACAAAAUCGUGAGGGAAUGGUAAGCCCAAAGCGGACAAUAUCGUGCUACGGUGGUGGAGCGAGCCCGAGAUGUGGUGGACCCGGGCCGGGAUAUGAUAAUUUAUUGUGGCAUCCCACAUCGCCCAGGGGAGUGAUCCUUAAAUGUAUAUUCUCAUCCCUACCUAGCACGAGGCCUUUUGGGAGCUCACUGGCUUCGGGUUCCAUAGGAACUCCGAAGUUAAGCGAGAAGGAGGCCAGAGCAUUCCCAGGAUGGGUGACCCACCGGGAAGUUGCUCGUGAGUUCCCAAAAACAAAACCGUGAGGGAAUGGUAAGCCCAAAGCGGACAAUAUCGUGCUACGGUGGUAAAGCGGGCCCGGGAUGUGGUGGACCCAGGCCGGGAUGUGAGUGGUAGAUUGUAGAUUGAAACACCUCAACCCCAUUUUUAUUUAAAAAAAAUUUUAAAGCCUUAAUUGGUGAGCCCGUGGGGCCCACCUUGUUUUAUUUUUUUUUAUGUUUUCCGGUCUCUCUAUCUCCUCUCUCAGUUCUUUCUUCUCCCUCACCUCUCCCACAACUCUCUCUCCCUCACUCUCUCUCAGCACUCUCUAUCUCAGCCCCUCCGAGGGUUUUUCUUACCAACAAACAUCACCAUAACAACAUCAACAUCUCCAUUAGCACCCUAGUGAGCUUAGAAUCGAAGAAAGAACACCCUAAACCCUUCUCUUCCUUUCGGCCGGUACUGUUCAUCAUCUUCUCCGUCGAGCUUUGUAUCGUUCCGAUGUUGGUAAGCUUCUAGAAACCCUUAGGUUGUGCUUUAGGGCUAUAUCGAAGCUUGUUUUAAGUACGUUUGAAUCACAGAAAAUAGCUCAGGAAAGCUUUUCCAAAUUUUCCGGCCAGCAACGCCACUUUCGAGGAAAUUUCCGGCCAAAAUACUGCGAGUUGGCCGGCGUGCAAGGUAUCAAUCUCUUCGUCUCGCUGAGAACUACAACUUUCCUUUUUGUUUCACUCAAUUGCGUUGAGUAUUGAAGACGUUAUACUCAUUUGAAUCUUACCCAGUUUCCAGGCGACCUCCGAGAAUUUCAAGGAAUUUUUCGGCCAAACCACGGCGAGUUAGACGUCGUGUGAGGUACCAUUCUCUUCGUCUCUUCGAGGGCUACAAUUUUCGUUCUUGUUUCACUUGAUUUUGUUAAGUUUUGACAAAUUUAUGACCAUUUAAAGGUUGUGCACUUUCUGGCCGAAUUUCCGGCCUUCUUCAUCCUUGGGUCCGGCCACCCAAAAAAUCCCAAGGCCUUUGGGCCUUUCCUGCCGAGCCCAACUCAAACCCAUUUCUCUUUUUAUUUUGUUUAAGCCUUUGGGCCUAAAACCCUCCAACCUUUUUUAUUUUCUGUUUUAUUUAUUUUUGGUUUAAAAAGUCAUUGGGCCUUAUUUGUUAAAACCCUAAACCCUUUUAGUUUAAAAACCUAAACCUAAACCCUAAUCCGGAUUUCAAGCUUAAAACCCGUUAGACCUAAUUUGACCGUUGACCCCCAGUCAACGUUGACUUUAGGGUUGACUUUUCGGGUUUUCGUCCGGGACCCCUAGGGUAAUUCGACGUUCUGAAUCCGUUUCCAAUGUCCGUUUUCCCAAAUUCAAUUGCUAUUAUAUAGUUUCAUUUAUUGGACUCUUUAUGUGCUUAGAGGCAAUUAUUGUGACGUUUCCGUCUUCACUAGUGGCGCAGCUUUUGGCAACUAAGUACUGUGAGUGGACCCCUUCUAAAAUUACAUGAUUUUAUAGUUUAAUUGCAUAAAUGAAUAGCAUGCCUUACGAGUUUAUGAUUUGAUUUAUGUGAAGCCUGUUUAUUAAAUAUAUUGAUUUUCGUCUCGUGUUUUUUGUGAGGAAUCAAUUGUUGGCCUAUAUUGAGCUAUAUUUUGAUAUAUCGUAUUUUUUAUAAAAACUAUGAUCUGGUAGACUAUCCGAUGGAUGACGAUAGGAUGCUAGAACAUGUUUUUGAAACCCCUCUUUAUAGUAUAGACGAUGGAUGACUUUAUAAUAUGAAGUGGUUAUUUAUGAGAGGCGUAACUAUUUGUGUGUACCUAGUAGACACUAAGCCACUUGGGGCGAGGAUCUGGUGUUAGCAUUUAGGCCGGGAGAAAUAAUCCUAGCUAUGGGCUGAGGGACAUGGAGCAGGCAUUGGGCCGGGAGUUGGUAAUCUCUGGCUACGGGCGCAGAGACCACAGAGCAGGCAUUGGGCCGAGAGUUAUAUUUAUUCAGUGAUCUUUCUAGCAGCACACCGCGCUUACAAGACGAUCUAUGAGACGUUUACUGUUUUGAUUUCUGCGAUGAUAUUCCGCGAUAUGACUUUUGAGAUAUUUUUGGCAUGCUAGAAUUUUUAUUAAAUCCAUCACUUAUUAUGCUAGUUUUCAUUAUAUAUAAAUUGUGGGGGUUAGUACCUUGAUAAUUGUUUUAUUAUUAUUUUAUAUAUGAACUUGGUCUACUCACCUUUGUUUUGCGCCCCCAUUCAGGACUUAGGAUCAAGGCACCUAAUCCCGACGUCAAGACACUUCCGCAGCAGCAUCUUUGAAUCCUCUCGAUGUAGGACCCACUUCCUUAUUCAUUCAAUUUUAUCUUAAUUCUUUUUAGUGAUUAGGUUUAGUUGUAUGCUCUGAAUACGUUCCUAAAUUAUUAAUUCAUUGUAUUUUAAAUUUCUAACUCUUAUUUAUUUCUUAUUCUUAGCUUUUGUAUCAAUUAAUGGCUUUCGUCACCCUCGGGUGUCGGCCAGCAUGUGUUUAUCCUUGUAUUCGAGGAAUAUCAGGGUCGGGGCGUGUCACCAUCCCAUGCCUAUCUCCCCCUCUCUGUCUCUGCAACCCAUGCUCUUGGCAAUAGCAAAAAUGUAAAUAAUUUAAAAUCGAGAGCCCAUCUCAUAACAAACAUAAAUAGACUAGCAAAACCAUAAAUAUAUCAAAGUCUGGUCAGAGACAAAAUUACCCUCCUAACUUUUCAUAGUUACCCUCUAAACCCAAGCACAUAUCUGGUGGCAGUGGUGUAAAUACAGCAAAAUCAAGUGUCAAUCAUUUGACUAAGCUACACUCAAAUGCCUCCAUAAUUUUAGAAUAGAUAAUGCCGUUAUCGUUUAAUAAGUGCUUGCAACUUGUUCAAAAAGUGCACUAUUAUGUCCAAUGACCAAUUAUUUAGUGGUGAAUUGUAAAAAAAAAAAAAAAAAAAAAAAAAAAAAAGAUCAAGAAAGAUGAAAAUUUUAAACUAUUUUUUUAAAAAAAAAUUAAAUGAUAUAGUUGUCAAUAAUUAAAUUAUAUUAAUUAAUGUACUUAUUUUUUAAUUGAUAGCAUGUCUUUUAAUUUAAAAUUUUAGUUGUCCUAAUAUUAUCUUUGAUUAAAGAGAGUUUUAACGAAACACUCCCGGUAUUGUUCAUUUUUAAUGAAAAACCACUUUUUUACUUUUUCCUGGUACUAUUCACUACACCUUUAUUUGUUAUUUUUCAUUAAACUAAAGAUGUUUUUAGACUUUUCGUUAGUUUUCAUUUGAUUAAACCCACCCGAAUCGCCAACUUUUAUUGUCUUCUGUGUCAAAUUAAAUGUGAGUUGGUGUUGAAGCUGUCUCAAUAGUUCAUUGUCUUUAUCAUCAAAUGCAUAGUAAAAAAAUACAAAGGGAGAGAUAGACAAAUAUAAAAUAGUAGUAGUUUGAAGCAAAGUAAAAUGCAAUGGGGACGGGAGUGGUAGAGUGUGACGCCAGACUCGCCAGUUAUGUAUGGGGAAUUCAGCUUGGUGUGAAUUUUUCUGAGGAUUAUUUAGUUGGCAUCAACGAACAAAAAAGUCCUGAAAAAAAAUUAUUGAUUAUUACCCACAAGGUUAGAAGUUCCUUAAACUUCAAGAGUACGACAUAUUGGGAUUUACUAGAGUAAUAUCUCAUUCACCACAAUGUGAAAAAGUUAAAAACUUAAAAUACAGAACAAUGUAUUAUUGAUUUGAAAAAUCACUACAAUGACAUUCUUCGUAGUAAUUUUAUCUUGUCAUAUGGCCCAUUAAGUGUUACGUUUGACCAAUUGAGAAAUGUAGCCCCACUUAAUGGGAGCGCUACACUACUAGGUUGUUCUCCCCAAUGUCUUAAAUAUCGAUAAUAUCGCCGAUAUUUCGCCGAUAUUAUCAUAUUUUUUAGAGUACGAUAUUUCUACACCUAUCCACGUGAUUAUCAUCCAAAUAUCACGAUAUUAGAUAAUAUCGCCGAAGCUCCGUCGCCGAGGUCACGGUGGGAUGUGGGUGUGGUGUGUCUGUGCUCCGGGAAGGAGAGUUGCAGCAAUUUUCACAACGAAUCUGAGGGAAGAGAAAGUGCGAAGAGAGAUAGAUAGAGAGAUUAUCGGCGAAUUUCUGCAACUCUUCUCUGUGAAGAUGAGGGAAGAGAGUGUGAAAAGAGAGAGAGAGAGAGAGAGAGAGAGAGAGAGAGAGAGAGAGAGAGAGAGAAUUAAACAUUUCAAUAUGUGGUAUGUUCUGAAGCUCGUCUAUGAAGAGGAGAGGAGAAGAGUGCGAAGAGAGAGAGAGACUGAAAGUCUGAAACAUUUCAAUAUGUGAGGGCGAGGAGUCUGAGGACUGGGAUCUCAAAUAAGGGAAAAGCUGAUGGUUUUAAUUGUCAAAACCAUGGGCGCUGAUGGUUUUGAUGGACUGGGAAGGAUCUCAAAUAUAUAUUUUAUAUUGAAGCUUUCGUCCAAAAUAUAUAUAUAUUUUUUUUAUAUUGAAGCCAUGGACCCAAAGUGGUGGACAGGUGAUGUGGUUUUGAUGGACUGGGAUCUCAAAUAUAUAUUUUAUGUUGAAGCCAUAGACCCAAGGUGGUGAACGGGUGAGGUGUGAUGGUUUUAAUAAUGAAGACCACCCAUUAUGUGGGUUUUUUAUAUUUUUAAAAGUUUAAGAUAUAUUAUAUAUAUAUAUAUAUAAAUGUUAUAUACAUUAUAAAUUAUUUAGAUAAUAUUUUGUUUUUUUUUAAGGCAAGCAUAUUAUAUAUGUACAUAAAACUUUCUUCUAUAAGAAAUAACAUAUUAGUCAAUAAUUAUUUACAUUUGAUAUAGUAAAUUUAAUUAAUUCAUCAAAAUAUAUAAGAAAUUUACCUAAAUUCGCCUAGGCCGCCUAGGCGCUAACCCGCGCCCGACUAGCGCAUAGCGUUUUUUAGAACCUUGGUACUAAGUCACUCAUGUAUCUUACCAUGCAAUGUAUAAAGUGUAAAAUAUUGUACUAAUUCAUUAUAUAUAAAUGAUUAUGGUGUGUUUAAACUUUUUUCAUUAAUUACUACAUAUUUUCUACACUCACAAUGUUUGCCAGCUCGCUAUAUAAUCAAUUUAAAUCAGUUAAAUCCAUCAUGCAAUGCAUUUCCUUCCAAUUUUUUGUGAUAAACUAAUAGAUAAUUGACUAAAUAAACAUCCUGCAAAGUUUCAAUAAAAAUUUCCAAGUUUUUCUUACAAUUUCCGUGGUUUCCAUAUUAUUUUUAUCGAUAUUGAUAAUAUCCCGAUAUUUCCAUCGAUAUUUCCGUGUUUUUGGACUACCGAUAUUUCCGAUAUCAUCGAUAUUUUAUACCUUGGUUCUCCCUCGUAUCUAUCAUGUGAUAAGUUAUUUCAAGAUGUUCGUAUUAUAUCAGUGUUCUAAAAAUCAGCCUGGCGGUUUUUAGGCGCUAGGCGGUGGUCAGCCACCGCGAUUAAUCUAUAGUCGAGAGGAAAAUCGGGGAAGGGAUUAGGCGGGCGCCAAAGCAGUCCGAGCGGCGCUUGGGCGGCCUAGGCGGGCGACUGGAUGGCCUAGGCGGUCUUGGCGUUUCACUGCAUUUUUCUGCUUUCAAAAUGAGGAAGGAGGAAUGCCAGAGCACAAUAGGUGUUCUGGGUUUUGAAUUCCAACGAAGAAGACGAGAGGAAGAAGAAGAAGAGUUUCUCUCUCUUCGAUGCUCAGCUCACCCACGUGACCAUUCAUGAGUCAUGACUCACUUUUUUCAUAUUUUAAAAUGUUGUCCAAUUAAAAUGGGACACCUAGCAUUCUAUUUGAUUGAAUACAUAUAUAAAAGAGGAUACAACUAUAAAUAAAAAAUAAAAAAAUGAGGGUACAGGCGUACAGCUAGCAGCCUAGCACACUCAAAGUCUGAACGUUAUGAAUAGUGCCCCACCUCACUCCCUUCUAUGCAUCUUAGUUUUCCACCCUCCAUUUUUUAUGUAAUUAUUUUAAAUUGUUGAUUAAAUACUUUCUAUUUUUGUCAAAUACUUUGUUUUCAAAGAUUAAAUGAUUUCUAAACAUAUAUUUAGCACCUUUAUUCUUCUUUAAAUGCACUAUAAAUUCAUAUCAUCUUUGAAAAAUUUUCUUAAGGUACUACAGAUUUGUAUCAUUUGAACUUGUAUCUUAUUCCAUCAAAUUCAUCAAAGUACUAAUGAUAUAAUUUGUGUAUUAUUCUACUUCUAUUUUUGCAUUUUAUCUUUUUUUUUUAUUAUUCAUACAAGUAUAGUUUUUUUUAGGUGUAAAUAGACACUUAUUUACAAGAUAUAUAAUAAAUUUACAUAAAUCCGCCUAGGCCGCCUAGGCGCUAGGCCCCCCGCCGCCCGACUAGCGCCUAUCGAUUUUUAGAACAUUGUAUUAUAUACGUGUUUGCAGUGGUGGAGUCAAAAUUUUCAAAUAAUGGUGCCUUAAUUUCAACAAAAAAAAAAUCAAUGGACAAUUUGUCGAGCACCUGGUGGGUACUUUCCGAUUCCUACCAACAUUUACCAAAAGCUUACACGAAUGUAUGUCGACAACUACUAUGACCAAUAAAGGCUUGUCAAGGGCAGCAGUGAGAAACCAUCGAGUAAUGUUGAAGACUGCCAAUGACACACCCCGACCUGGAAUGUCCACUUGGACUCCAAAUCGAGUUGUGCUGGCCGACACCUGAAGGGUGACGAAGCCAUAAAGUGUAGUGAUGUGGAAGGUUUGGGUAAAUUUAAACCUAAAGUGCCUAAUCAAGAGAGUGUGCAGGUGAGCGGGUUUGAACCCUAUUCACACGUGAUGUCAGAGCAUAAGACAGUAUAGUAAUAAGUUGAGGGUUACACCACUGAAGGUAACCAUCUCCUGAGAUUUGCCAAAAUCCUCGUAUAUGCGUAAACACCGCUACUAAACCUGGAGGGGCAAAAAACAAUUUGAGUGGGUCAGUAAAACAAUACUUAUACGAAAACCUUUACUUUUGAAUAUACUAACCCCUCACCAUAAAACAAGUAUAGUUUCCUCAAAACAUACUACGUAAGUAUGUAAUCAAAUAUAACAUCAAUAUAACCAGAAAUAUGCCAAGUCAUGAUAUAUCAAAUGCCACAAUAAUCAUGUGAUAAUCAAUAUAACUAAGUGCUCAUCCAUCUAAGCUGACACACAAGUUCGAACAGAUGGUUUUUGACACGAACAGGACUGGGUGUAAUCAAUAUGCUCUAGUACUACGAUCACGUGAAGACUAGUGCAAAAGCACAUCACAUACAAGUCGGAUCGCCUAAUGCAAUCUACCCGACAAGACUGGCACCUAAACUUGGAUCCAAGGUGAGCGAACGGUGCAGAUGUGAACAUACACGUGAAGGACUGGCCCUGGCCCUGAGGCGAGUACUAACACCGGGUGCAGCAAGAUGAGCAUGUACACAAGCACGUAUGAAUGCCAUGACAGUAAUAUCACAACCAUAUAGCAGCAUUUAUCACAUUUCAUAUCACAAUAUCAAAUACUUGGCAAUAUAAGCGUAAAAGUGAAGUAAAUACGCAUUUAUGGAAACUAUAAUAUGUAUAGGUAUAAAAACAAACUGCCCACUCAUAGAUACUUCGCCGCUGACGAGCCACGCAACCUAGCGAAGAUGGAAACGCCAUUAAUAAUUGCCCCUAAGCACAUAAAGGUACAAUUAAUAAAACUAUACUAUAACAAUUGAAUUUGGAAAAAAAAGACGUCAAAAACGGAUUCAGAACGUCGAAUUACCAUAAGAAGGGUCCUACUUAAAUUUCCGAAAAGUCAACAAAAGUCAACAGGAUGAAUAUUCCCUGAAAGACGAAAUAUUCUCUGACGGAUGGAAAAUUCCCUAACGGAAUAUUUCAUCUGGGUUAAGGGUUAUUAGGUUGGGUUAGAUUAAUAGGUUGGACUUAAGGAUUUUAGGCCUAAAGGCCUAAACUAAAAGGUUUAAGAUUUAAAAUGCAUGCUUAAAGCCCAAAAGGAAAUGGCCAAAGGCCUUUAAUUAACCAAAUAAUAAUAAAGGGUUAGGUUGGGCUGCCCAGGGUCUUGGGCUUGGCAGGAACGGCCCGAAGGGUCUGGGUUUGGGUUGCAGCUCACCGGAGUUAAACGGAAGGGAAGGCCGGAUUCGGCCAAAAAACUGAACAACCUUUAAACGUUAAUAACUUCCUCGUUAUGCAACGAAAUCGAGUGAAACAAAAACGAAAGUUGUAGUUCUCGAAGAGACGAAGAGAAUGGUACCUCUCACGAUGUCUAACUCUCGGUGGUUUGGCCGGAAAACACCUCGAAAUCCGUCGGACUCGCCGGAAACUGGGUAAGAUUCAAAUGAGUAUAACUUCUUCAAUACUCAACGAAAUUGGGUGAAACAAAAAGGAAAGUUAUAGUACUCAGCGAGACAAAGAGAUUGAUUUGCAUGAUGGCCAACUCGCCGUGGUUUGGCCGGAAAUUGGCUCGAAAGGCACAUGUCAGACUUGAACUUCUCAAAACCGAGUUGUUUCACAUCAAAGCUUCCUCAAACCUUGACUAGAGACCCUAGGGAGUUGCGUAGAGGCUUUCCCGAGUCCUAAAACAUCGUGACUCGGUUGAAAACACGUCGAACUCAACUCGUCCGAGUUCGGACCUUCCAAGUUGGCGAGUCAAAACUCGUCCAUUCUUGGUUUGGUUGGUAUGGUUGUGUUCGUGAGGAUGAGAGGAGUAAAAUGGGGUUGGUUUCAAGCUCGAUCUAUGAGCUUUGAUGUUCGUUCAUGGCGUUGCAGAGGAAGAGAGAAUACGGGAGAGAAAGAGAUAGAAGAGAGAUAGAACCUUUUCUGAUAGAGGGGGACAGUAAAUAAAGAAGAGAUGGGAUAGGUGAGAGUGAAAUAAUGAAGAGAGGUGCACAGGAUGUGAUAAAAAGGAAUCCAAUGGAUAGGUUUUUAGAUUUCCUACAAUAAAAGGAAAUCGAAAUCUAUUCGAAGUAGAUAUUUUACACUUUAAAAUUUACGCAUACUCGUACUAGCGUGUACAAUUUAAAUGCGAUAGCGAGAAAUAAAAAGGAAAGCAAUAAGAAUAAGUCCACGUCUCUUGCCAAUAAAGGUAUAAUCGUCAAUACACAUACUCGGGGAGAAAUUACAUAGGAAAAUUAGGGACGGGUCGUCACAGCCAAUGUUUGUCAAUUGAGGCAUUUCAUCGAGCAUUUGGUUCACACAAUAGAUUCACAUACAAGAAGAGAAAAGAAAGUAAUUGUGGAGCCAAAAAUAAUCACAAGGCGACACGUAGACCUUUGGAUAAAAAAAGGACAAGAAUACCCUUGAGGCACAUUGAGAUUCCUACGCGCGAGUAGCGGAGAAUCAUCUUUCAACAAAAUAAAAAAUGCUCCAAAAGAGGUAACCAAUUCAAAGUCCAUCUUAUCAAAUCCCCUUUUGCAAGGUAACCUACAAAAUAAUGUUAAUUGGUUAAUUAAUGGAUUAAUUACCCAAUUAAUCCAUUAAACAUCAAUUAAAUUACCCAAUCAAUCACAAAAUAUAUCCCAUUCACCCUAAAAAUAGGUAGUGGCAGGCCACCUCACAUUCUUCUUAGUCUUUCUUACUUUUCCCCAUUUUACUAUCCCAUUUAUACAAAUAAAUAAUUUUAUAACCUCCCAUUUACUUCUUUCAUACUUAAUUAGCCAAUAAAUUGGCUAAUUAAGCCAAAAUCAUAACCACAAAAACCAUCAAGGCCGGCCACACCAAGGGGGAAAAUGGGUAAGCUUAAUCCUAUAAAUAGGCACCUAUUCUCACCAAAAAGUCAUUUCAAUUCUCUUACAAAAAAUCUCAAAUACUCUAAACACUAUUUCUCUCUAAAAUUCUAACUUUGGCAUCGGAGGUUCUUCGGCCAAAGCCCCCCCAUUCAUCGUGGGCACGUAAGGCUUUUGGCCUUAACCUAAGGUGCUAGUUGUUUUGUAGGUGCAAAAUCGUCCAAGAUCAAGAAGAAGAAUAUUUGCAUCCACAGUAAUGGAUGUUAAAACAAAACAAAAUUAGAAGAAGAAAGUUAUGAUUUAGUUUGUCAUAACUGUUUAUAGAGAUCAAUACGAAUAUACAAUUAAAUAUAUAUAGAGAUUUUAAAGCUGUUAGGGGUCAUAAGCAAUCAAUGACCCCAUAUUAAUUAUGCCAUUGCAAUUUCGUACUUUAAAAUAACCGCGAACAUUCGCCUAAGAAAACAACAUACAUAUUAUUAUUAGCCAAAUUCAUAUCGGUGAAAAAUAAAAAUUGCAAUGUUGGAAAAAAUAAUUGAAACUUUGAAAUCUGAAAAGUCACGGCAGAUAGUCUUUGAGUCUGAAGUCAAACAACUUUAAUUUUCCGUGUGGAAAAGUAUCUCACUAGAUAUGUCAUUAUCUCAGUCAAAUUCGUUGAAGAAACGUAAGAAAUUGUGUAAAAUUCAAAAUAAUCAAGUAUUUUUAUAUUAGGAGACGUAAGUCCAAAAGGGUACCAUAUAAUAUACUUUUAAACAUGAUUUUUCAAUAAUAAUAUAAUUACAUAAAGUCUGUUGAUUUUGCUGCUGAUAAGACUUGUUCUGUUGAUCUUGGAUAAAUAUAAUUUCUGUUUCUUCCCUUACUAAAGAUUUGAAUUUUUGAAACAAAGAAACUUGACAAUGUAUAUGUUAAACAGUAUCAAUUAGCUUAAGAAAAUUUUCACAGGAGUCAAGUUUUUUUUUUCAUUAUUAAAUAAAUGUGUGUUAAAAUUAAAAAAAAAAAAACCAAACUUGAAACCAGUGGCGGAGCCAGGGGCAUUUGCUGCUACUGACCCUAAUAACUUCAAAUAUCUCCCCCUUGAAUUUUUAUAUAAGCCCUAUAAUAGCUAAGGCAAACAAAACAAAGACACCAUAUAUUAAUAAUUUUUUUAAUUCAAACUUACCAAAACUACAACCUUUACAAAAUAGGGAGAGCUUGUUUAGUGAUCAAUGUUGCAAAGAAUUCACAUCAUAUGGAAAAUCAAUAGUUGGAUGAUAACUUGGUUGUAUACAAUGAAAAAUGAAUUAAAAUCACUGGUUUAAUGAUUACUUGGUUAUAUACAAUGAAAAAUGUAUUUGACUUUAUUAAUAAUGAUGUUGUGAUACGGCGUUCUAAAAUAUGAGAACAUGUACUUACCAAUUAUAAAUGAAAGUAUAUUUAGUCGGAAGCUUCUUGUUCGUGACCCCAUUAAUGUAAAUUUCUGGUUACGCCACUGCUUGAAACAUAUAUGUACAAGAAGCUAUGGAAAAAAAGUACAAGAAAAAGAUAUGUUUGUAAACUGUACUGUAUAAUUUAUUUAAUUAAAUCGAGAGGAUUAAGAAUGGUGGCUAAAUAUACAAUGGUGCAAACUGCAAAAUAAUGAAAAUUACACGCAAUUUUGUUUUCACUGAAAGCUCUGAUUCUUGCGAGAAACUUGCAUUUAACCGGAAUAUUAAGUGACGAGUGCUAAAACGUGUGAAUAUAUAUUUCAUUGGCAUCCAAACUCGUCAUAUGUAAAGUAAGUACUAUACAGUAAUUUGAGAUUGGGUUUACACAUUCCAUAUACAAUUAAUCGUCUCUAAGUUCAGUUAAUGGAUUCCAAUGAUAAAUUUCCUCAUCUCUUGCUCAACGGGCCACAACAUUAGAAAUCGUCAAGCCAUUGACCGAGCAAUUGUGAGCACUUACUGCUACUUGAUCAUGGUGAUCAAUACAUCUCCCUGUAAAGAAGGCUGGUCGCUCAGGUUUAGAAAGACCAAUGGUUUCACUUUUCAACAUAAGAACAACUGAUGACAUGGUCGGCCUGUUGUUUGCAUCUUCUUGAACACACAAUAAUCCGAUAUGAACGUAUCUCAGGAAUUCAUUUGGACUGCAUGAGCCUUUCAACAACGGAUCCAUCAACUCCAACACUUUCCCUUCAUUCCAUAAUUUCCAAGCCUGCAAUUAUAAUUUCAUGCUAAUUAAGAAUGUAGUAAUAUAUUGAUUAUAAAUUUCUAUAUACCAACAUUAAUUUGUUUGAGAUAUUUUUGUAUAAGCUAACUCAAGUAAAAACUUUACGUACGUUUCCUAUAAGUGUCGGUGCACCAUUUGUCAGAUGAAAACCUAAAAAGUUCUUUCUCCCCGUUAUGAUCUCAAGUAAAAGUACUCCGAAGCUAAAUACAUCAGAUUUUAUUGAAUACAAUCCCUCCAUUGCAUAUUCUGGAGCCAUGUAACCACUAAAUUACAUGCAUAAACAGAUAAGAAUUGGAAUAUGUAAGAGAUAAUUAACUAAAUAGAGGAAGGUAUAUAUAUGACUUGCAACUUACUAGGUGCCGACAAUUCUUUCGGUGUUUCCUUGAGUUUGAUCAUCGGCUCCAAACAUUCUUGCCAUACCAAAAUCUGAUAUUUUUGGAUUCAUAUUUUCAUCUAACAGAAUGUUACUCGCUUUUAAAUCACGAUGUAUAACUCUAAGCCUUGAAUAUUCAUGCAGAUAUACAAUUCCUUGAGUGAUUCCUCCUAUUAUCAUGCAACGCCUUGACCAAUCCAGCUGUUCACGUUUCUUGGAUUCUAUUCACAUAAAUUAAAUACAAUACUAUUAUUAGUAUAUAAUUUAAGAUAGAAAUUGCAAAGAAAUUCUGAAAUGAUGACUCUUACCAAAAAGAAAAUAAUCAAGACUUUGGUUAGGCACAUAUUCAUAAACAAGUAUGGUUUCCUCUCCUUCCAAACAAAAUCCCAGAAGCCUAACAAGAUUUCUGUGUUGAAGUUUGGCUACCAAUGCAACCUCAUUCUUAAAUUCUUGUACACCUUGCUUGGAGCUCUUUGACAACCUCUUCACUGCUAUUUCUUGUUCAUUAGCAAGUGUUCCCUGAAAUAUUUUAUCAUCAGAAAACUUGUUUAGAGUUCUAUAAAUUGAACUAAGCAUUAAGCACAGUGUGGUAAAAGUCGUUAAUCACUAAUUUCUACGACAAAAUCAUGAAGGUAUAUAUAAAUUCACAUUUUCAUACCUUAAAAACUACACCAAAUCCGCCUUCACCUAACUUGUUAUUGUCCGAGAACUUGUUUGUAGCGGUUUCAAUGGUUCCCAAGUCGAAUUGCAAGGACUCAAGAGUCUCUGUGUCGUCCCUAACUAAGAAAAUAAUGUGUUUCUUACAUGUAAGAAACUAGCUAGAAAAACAUAUAAAUAUAGUGUUAAUUAAGAAAUAGGGAAGUACAUUUUUUUCUUUCUAAUUGGUGAAGGAAAUAUACACUCUUUCUGAUUUCAUAUGACAAACUAAAGUACAUGUUAUUUACUUCUUACCGUUUUCUUGACUUGGAGCAUUAUUUCUUACUGCUCUUCUGCUUGCAAAGCAGUAGACUAAUACGACCGUAACAGCAAUAAAAGCAAGAAUACUGCCAAUAAUGAUUAUGUAAGGAGAUAAUCUGCUUCUUCCUGUAUGAACAAAAGUAUUACACAAGGUUGGAAUUAUUAAUUUCUUUAGUUGAAAUUGUUAAACACGAUUAUCAAUUUUAUUAAUUCUGAGAAUGUUUGGUGGAAUUUAGUUGUAAUUCGGGUGAAAAUUUGUUGUUUAUUUAUAGGAGCAAAACCCAAUAUUUAUGCGAAACAAUAUGACAAAGAAAUGUAAACUAGCAAAAUAAACGAAUACAACUAAGGAAGAAAUCAAAGUAACUGACGAAACAAAGGAAUGAAAAAUCAAAGGGAUACUUUGGAUGCGGUUCCUAAUCUUUAACAUUUUUUUAUUAAAACCUUAAUAGUAUUCAAAAUUUGAUCAAGGUCCCUUGACUUUGUACACCUCAUUAUAUUACUAUUAAUAUUUAUAUUUUUAUAGUUUGGACAUUAAUUGUUUGAUAUUUUAUGAGAUUUAUAAUCCUAUAAAUUUAAAAUCCCUCAUUAUAAUACUAUUAGAAACGGUUACAAUAAAAAAAUUCAAACAUUUUGAUUGAAUAAAUGGAUAAAAACUAUGUAAAAAUAAGAAAUAAUAAAUGGCAAAAGAAUGUAUCCAUAGUGUUAAAAAAUUUGGUACAUUUCACAUAUAACAAAGUGGUACAUUAAUAAAGGAGAAUGGGUACAUUAUAAAUAAAUUAGGGUACAGAUAAAAGAUUAAAAAUUAUGAGUACAAAUGAAUUUUUAAAAAUAUAGGCGCUAAAAGAAAUUAAUACAUGUGUACAAAUAAAACUAAAAAGAAAAUACUACAAAUUUAAAAAAAAAUGUUGCAAAUUAAAAGUGGGUACAAACUAAAAAUAUAAAUAUAUGAUACAAAGUUUAGGCAUAAAACAUAAAUAUACCAUAUGUAAUUUUUCUAUUAUUGAUUAAAUAUACAAUGUCACGUGACGGUAUACACAUGGAUACAAACACAAAUAAAACUUCAAAAAAUAUGGGCACAAAAAGAAACUAAUAUAUGGGUACAAAUUAAAAAUGAAAAGAAAAUUGGUACAAAUUAAAAAAUAUUUGCAAAUUAAAAAUAGGUACAAACUAAAAAUAUAUAUAUAUGAUAAAAAAAUUUAGCCAUAAAUAUAAAUAUACUAAUUGUAAUAUUUUUAUCACUAAAGAAAUAUAUUUAAAAAUAAAAAUAUUUUAUUAUUCAAAUAAUUAAUGAUGUUAUUAAUACUCAAGGACCUUGAUCAAAAAUUAAAAAUGAAUAAGAUUUUAAUCAAUGGAGUAAUAAAAAGAAGGAUGUGAACCUAAUUUUCUCAACAAAUUAUUAAGGAAUGAUGACCAUGACUAAUAGUGGUGAUGGAGAUGGAGAUGAUAGAUGAGGAAGCGAAUUAAUAAGUUUAAGGCACCUUUAGGCCUUGCCCUGAUGGAGGCUGGCGGAGGAGGAAGCGGAGGUGGGAAGGAGGGGGUGCGGAGGAUGUAGCGGUAAACUUCAAUCGUAAGACGGCAACUGGGACAUAGAAGUCGUCCCCCUUGUUGUAUUCUGGGAACUUCUGCUAUGGCUCCCUGAAGACAUAAAUAGCAAUCUCUAGGGGACAAGUCCUGCGUGCACUGCCCAAGCACUUGCAGCGAAAUGGACCCUGAAACGUCCGCUUUUUUGGUUGCAAACAUAUUGCUUUUAUUGGAAGCCUGAACGGCCAACUCAUUCACACUCGCCUCCAGUACCUGGUAAAAGCGGCUUUCGUUGGCCGUUACCUUCGUCUUGUUCCCCAAGUACAUUAAAGGGAUGUCGUCAAGUCUGGAAAAGAAGGACUCGUCAGAGUAGCGCAACAUGCAGUCGACGUACCAGAUUAUAACAUUUUUUCUAUUGGGGCAGCGCUCGAGGGCCUCCGACGUUGCGGUGGCAACGCAGGUUUUGCACUCGUCAGUGGAGACCAAGUCGCCGCGGCAAAGGAAGAGGCCGUACACAGUGUCAUAAGGGUUUUGGGAAGAGGAUGCGGUGUAAUUGUAGAAGCCGGUGUAACGCGUGGCUUCGGAGGAGAGGGUGGAUAGGAGGCGUUUGAGGUUGGAUUGGAAGGCGGAGUUUGGGGUGAAGGUGGUGGUGGGUGGGCAGUACUCGUCCAGGUAAACAGCUUUGGUAGGGGUGGGCUCAUGUGCUGUGGCGUUCUGGGUGUAGAAGGGGUAGAUUUCGUACCUAACGCUACAACUCGGAAGCAGAACUCGUCCCCCUUGCUUUCCGCUACAACAAGACGGCAAUAGCGCUAUGACAUCCCUAAGGCACUCGUCGCAAACGGCCGCGGACAGGUCCUGCGUGCACUGCGCGAGGCUGUACAACGUAAUCAGAUCACUGAAUUUCGUUUGUUUUGUCGCGAACUUGUAGGCGUCGUUGGCAGCCUCGGUAGCCACCUCGUUCAUACUCGCCGCCAGCACCUGGUUGAACCGAGUCUGUUCCGUUACGUUCUGCGUGUUCAUCAGGAACACGCCAGGGUUCUCGGCCGAGGUGGAAAAGAAUGACACGUACGAGUAGCGCAGCAUGCAGUCGUCAUACCAGAUCACAGCCUCUUUUUCGAUGGGGCAUCGUUGGGGAGCCUCGCUGGUUGCAUUGGCAACGCAGGUUUCACAAGCGUCGGUUCCCAAGACAUCACCGCGGCAGAGGAAGAGACCGUAGACGGCGUUGUUUGGGGUUUGGACGGAGGUGUUGUAGAAGCCGGUGGAGCGGUAGGCGUUGGAGGAGAGGGUGGAGAAGAGGCGGUUGAGAUUGGACUGGAAGGUGGAGUUUGGGGUGAAGGUGGUGGUGUUUGGGCAUACGUGGUAGAGAUAUUCUGCUUCCGUACUGGUCAGAAAGCUGGGCAGAGUAAAAAUGGAGAAAAUCAAAAGAACGGAAGUCAUGUUUUUCAUUUUUUG